GGAAUGGCGAUUGCCAAAAAGUGCAGGGAUUGCCACUUGCACUUGUUGUUGUAGCUGGAGUCCUGGCAACUAUAGAGCAUGAUAUUUGUGUUUGGGAAGAAUUUGCUGAAAGUUUUACUUUGACCAUGGUGUCUGGUGCAGACCAGUGCAAGAAGUCCUUGGAGCUCAGUUUUGAGCAUUUACCAUACCACUUGAAGGAAUGCUUGCUGUAUUUUGCUGCAUGAAAAAUUGGUGCAAGAAGUUGAUGUGUCUAUGGAUUGCAGAAGGAUUUGUGGAAAUAAUUGAAGAGAGAAAUCAGAGGAUGUUGCAGAAAAAUAUCUGAUGGACCUAAUUGGCCGAAACCUAGUUAUGGUAGGUAAACAGAUCCAUUGGUGGAGUGAAAACUUGUUACAUUCACGAUUUGAUAUUUGAGUUCUGUAAGGGCAAGGCGAAAGAAAAGAAAUUCCUUCAGGUCCUGCGAGGAUAUGAUGAGCUUUCUACCUUUAAUGAGCCUCCCAACCUACCUCGGUUGUCCAUUUGCUCCAGUGGCAAAGAUUUUAUGAAGUCAAAGCUAUUUUGUCCGCAUUUAGGUACUCUGCUAUUCUUUGAAGUUACUUCAGUAUAUGACAAGUUUGUAUUCACAAACAUCUCAUUCCUUUUUUGUAUCUACAAACAUCUUGAAGUUUUGAAUUUAGGGAACAUUAACCUAAGGUUGAAGGAGCUUCCAACUGAAGUCGAAUCACUUCUUUGUUUGAGGUACUUAGCCCUUACAGCUUGGACAAUGGGAUUCAUUCCACCAUCUAUAGCCAAUCUCUCACAUUUGGAAACCUUUUGUCUAAAUUCUGGUGAGAUUGUUUCAUUGCAGAUAGCAUCUGGAACAUGAAGAAGUUGAGGCAUAUACAUGUAAGAUGGGAGGGUAUCAUUAUUCCUUUCUCUUCCAACGACAACGGUGUUGAAAACCUCUCCACUUUACCCAAUUUAGACACACUCUCUUGUUUGUGCCUUUAUGAAGAGGGAGAGAACUUAUUGAGAAGGAUUCCCAACGUUCGCCGACUUACAAUUUCCGAUUAUCAGACUGGAAAUGAAGUGUUUAACAUGAGUCGACUAGAAUGCCUAGAAUCACUCACCUACUCGGGCAAUUACUCCUCAGGUUCAAUGGAACAUGUUGAGCUUUCUUUUCCCAUGAAUUUGAAGAAGUUGAGUCUUUCCUACCUGGGUCUUCCUGUAGUAAAUGUCAUUGAUUGAACAACUACCCAACCUUGAAGUCCUCAAAUUAAGAGAGCGGGCAAUGGACGGCCAAAGAUGGGAGCUGAUGGUAGGAGGAUUCCCUAAACUCAGGGUCUUGACUUUGGAAGAAGUAGAGGUUGUGGAGUGGAUAGAGGCAGACCCUGACAGUGAUGAUUACUUCCCGUGCCUUCAGCAAUUAAAACUCCACGAUAUUUCUAAUUUGAAAUGAUGCCUGCUUGUUUAGAGAGUAUAUCUACUCUUGAAGAAAUUAAGGUGAGUUCUUGCGGAGAUGGCGUCAAAUCUUUAGUACGGGAAAUUGAAGCAGCACAGGAAUAUAAUAAUGGAAAUGAGAAUAUGAAGAUCAUCAUCAUAGAUUGAAGGGCAUCAGCUGGUGCAACAUCUGGUAUUUUUUGUCAUCACCAUCAAUUGGCUUGUAGAAAUAAUCAUGCUUUUCAUUUUUAAACAAGUUUAAUUUAUAUUUUACCAUUUGGUAGCUUUUUUGUACUUCAGUUGCCUGUAAUGCAUGCACAAGCACAUUGAAAUUGAUGAGCAAACAACUAAUUAUUGCUCCAUUUUUUUUCUUAACGAUAUCAUCAGGGAGUGCUGCGGUGGUUUUUCCUCUUCAGAUUGUAAUUGGUCAUCCGUGCGGUCUGGCUUUCUUUGAUACUUUUGUGGAAGAUGGAGGUAAAAGUUGGAAAGGAUCCAUGGCUCUUUUCUUGUCAAGAUAUGGUGGAAACAAUCAAUGAGAUUAUUCAGAUAUUUUGCUGUUGGCCUAUUUGAGGUUCAAACUCCAUCAUUUUGAUAGAAUUGAUUAACAAUUUAUGUUUGGGCUCAUGGUUCUUGGAAGAAUAUGAUAGCCCAAUUUGGAAACCUCUGUGAUCAUCUCUUUUCUGCUCACAACAGGUUUUUUACGGUAAAAACUGCAAUGGGGAUUGCAAAAGGCUUACGUGGCCUGAUCAGAGAAUUGGUUGAAGAUGUAUGCUCAAUCUCAGGUUGGAUUUAGGAUAUCCAACUUUUGAGAUUUGCUAAAUUUUCAGAAUCACAUUUUAGUCCUUCAAGUUGGGAGAAUUUUGCAAGAAUGAAGUAAGGACUUAAGUUCCUUUAAGAAGGAUGUCUGCAACUUGGUUUUUCUGCUGCUUGAGCUAAUUGCUCGAAAGGGCAUUAGUAAAAUAAUUGAUUCUCCAAAGAGCUUUAAAUGUGAGAUAUUUGUAUGAAUAUUAAUUUUCCAUUUUUGAAUCCACACCAUAUGUUUUAGAUGAUAUAUAGAGCUACGGAUAAGAUCCCAAAUUUGAGAGAAAACGAGUAUAAUUUCAAUUGUACAAUGGGUCGAUGCUCUAUUUAUAGGCUAUGUCAAGUGAGUACAAUGAAUUUUGGGCUAAUUAACAUAUAAUCAAAAGAAAAAAAUGAGACUUGGAAUUUUCAUAGUUAAAAAAAAAAAAAAGAGCAGCUAACUAAAUUCUUCGUGAUGCGUAAAAGAACCAAAAAGUAAUCUCACUCUUUCUAAAUACAUGAAUGAAAUUUAAUUGGAUAAAAUAGGAAUCACAUUUUGCAAACAUCGGGCCUAAAACAAAGGAAACACAUAACGAUUAAACGUUGAAACUACCAAAAUAAACAGGAAAUGGAGUUCUACGGCGUCCUAAAAAAGUAUGCUCUCUCAAGCUGAAAAAUAGACUCAUUUAAUGUUUCUGGGACAUUUUGGACUCUCUCUCACCUCAAGCAACAUUGUAUUGAACUUGUAAGGCCCAAAUUUUAGCAACUGUUCACGCAUGCAUUUCUCUAGUUCCUAACUCAACUAAUGAUUUGUCUGAAUACUUGUGAGAUUUGAUGAGAAUGGACUUCUCAACUAUGAACAAAUUUGUAAGACGAUGUCAGAUUGGCCUUCUCAACUAUAAAAUGAUUAAUCAUCUAAUUGUGAAUCUACAAUACAAAAUAUGAUAGAAUUUGCUGACAUAACUUAAACGGAUUUUGGCUCCUCUAUUGAGUUCUUUCUUCAUUUCAUUUCGUACGAUGCAUAUUUAGAUGUAUGACACGUGUCUUCAAUUAUUAAAAAGGGACAUGGUCAUUUUAAAUUUGACUAAUCUAACUCUUGUUAAUAAUAAAAGUACGUGUCAUACAUCUAGAUGAAUACGCGAAAUGAAGAGAGAAUCAACUAUAAUUUGCUACUAAGACGUGCUAUCGAUAAGGUUUUGUUAAACAAAUGAUUUAUAUGUUUUGUUGGAGGAGAAAAUUGAUAGCAAUAUGAAAUUUAAACAGUUAAAUUUCUAUUCUUUUAAUUAAUUUUAAAAAAUUAUCUUAGUACGUAUUCUAAAACACAUGCCCACUAUGUGCAACGCUUAUGCUCCUAUGCUAAUUUCAUCAAAAUAGAUCUUAUAAAUUUUAGUUAUAAACUUAUCAAUUUUCAUUUGAAGUUUUAAAAACACCAUGCAAGAUAAUUUUUAUAGGCUUUUCAACGUCCUUCUUCAACAUUAUUACUCUAACCUAGUCUUUUUUUUUUGAGACAAUAAUUAUUGUAUAAUCUAUUCUAUCCUAGUUUUUUUACUCUAACCUUGUGUUUGGAUUGUAAAUUAUUUGAGAUAAUUUUGUGAAAAAUAUUAUAGCAUUUUUUUGAUGUGAUGUAUGUGAGAUAAAAAGGUAAUUGAAAAAUGUGUUGAUGAUGCAAGCAAAUUAGUGUGUAAAUAAAGUGAAAUAGAAGACAAUCCAAACACUUUUACGUUUUUCGCUAAUACAUUUUUCAAUUACUUUUCUGAUACAUACAUUAAAUUGCUUAAUACAUUUUCAAGAAAAAACUCCAAAAAAAUAGAAAUCCGAACCUAACUAUUUCGUAUAUUACAAUUCUUUCAAGAGCAUUUGAUACAUAAAAUUCACAUUAUAUAACAAGCCACAUUAUGAUACAUUUCAAAUUCUCUAGAGGUAGAAAACUAUGAUGUGAUUUGUCUGCCACAUAUGGGGCAAAGUACAAAUUAAAGAAAAUGUAGGAAGAACCAGUCUUGGUUCCUCGAAUGACAAAAUAAUUUCGUUAAUAGUUCCCCAUAUUGCAUCUUUACCAUACAUGAUUCCUUAAGGUAUAAAUAAUUUAACUUUAGUCCUUUACCUUUUAAAUUUUUAAAUUCGGUCUCUUAUCUUUAUGAAAUUUGCACUUCAAGUCCACUCCUCCAGCAUCCAACAUGCCUUUCAAGAGUAUAAUGUUAGAAAUAAGAGGGAUCAAAUAUGUCAAGAAAAAUUAAGAAUUGAAGAUCUAAAUGAGAAGUAUGCAAUUCUUAAGGAAGAAAAUAUUAUCUAAAGUGAAACAUACUAGGCUAUAGUAAGACUAGCCAAGCAUGCAUAGGACUAAAACUGCAAUUUUUACUCGUACUCUAUCCAUUAAUAUGUUCUUUAACCCUUUGCGCUAGAAUAAAGCUUGAUAGUUGAUACAUGAUUUGUAUAUAUUCUCAACUCGUUUAUUGAAGUAAAGCUUUAACUUUCAUUUUGUUUCUGUGAGGACCCGAAAUUUUUAUUUUAUUUUAUCGAAUAUUUAGUUUGUUUAAAUAUUUAUUUACUCAUUUUCUCUAAAUUAUUUAUUUCGAUCAUUUAAAAUCCUUUAUAUGGAACGACGCCUCUUUAUUAUUUUUAAAAGCGUUUUGUUGGAAAAAAUUCACUUUUCGAAAACUCGUUUAGUUCGGACAACGAGUGCACGUUUUUCGAGACUAUAUUUGAAUCGAGAGUGUAUUAAUAUUGGAGAAUUAAGAACGAUCAAUAAUAGAUUAAGAAAGGAUAAUUGAGGAAUUAAUACUCAAUUCACGUGAGGACUCGGAAAAUUAUUAUUUUUAAACCCUAAUUUUGGCUCAAUUAAUUAUCUAUUUGGAUUUUGCCCGAAUAUUUUUUCUAUCCUUAUUAGACCUAAAUAUAUGGUUUUAUAUUUCGUUAUAUUUUUAAAGUGUCUCGUUUCAAAAAAUUAUUUUCUUAGAAGCUUGUUUAGUGAAAAAGUGAAAACGUGUCUGAAAACUUUAGCCAAUUAGGAGUACAAUAAGCUCAAAAAUUUAAGACAUAUACAAUGGUCCUAAAAUAGGCAAUUUUAGGUUUAAAUAUUGAAGUGAUAGUUAGUGGUACGAUCGUUAUAAGAAUUUUUCAAAGGUUUCAAUUUUUAUUGCGCCUAAAUUAGAAAUACGUGUUUUCACGUGCGCGCUUAAUUGAGGGAUUUUGGACCAUUAUUUUGGGAUAAUUAAGAAUGAAUAAUAUUUAUAUGUAUGUAAGUGCCCUAGAGGUUUAGUGCACUAGUGCAACAAACGUAAGAGAAAUCGGACACAAACGGCGCGUGUAGGGCACUAGUUGUAAUUGAUUUGACGUAUUUAAUAGAUUAGACGUCAAGCGUCUUUCGUACGCAAAGGAAACCAGAAACCGCAUUUCCUUUCCUUCUAGCUUCAUUUUUUUUUUUUUGUCAAUUUCCUUCUAGCUUCAUGGUCGGCCAGCUACUGCAGAGAAACAACCAAAGACUUCAACAUUUCCUCUUCCAAAGCUCAUGCAAAUCACUACCAAAACUUCCAUAGAUUCAACCAAAAUUUCACACACAUUAGCUCUACACUUGGACAACACAUCUAGCUGCAAAAGGAAGGAGCUAUCCACGGUUUCUUCAAGCUUCAAAGGGCCGAAACCUCUGUCCUAACCAGCCAUCAAAGUAGGUAGUAAUCUAAUGCCUUGAACUUUCUUAUGGAAGCUAAAUUGCACUUAUAAAUUUGAAUCGGCAUAUGAUUUGUGGUUGAUGUUGGAAAUUGUUAAAUGUGGGCUCUAUGAACUCCCACUUUGGGUUGAUGGCUGUGAUGAUGUUUGAUGAUGGUUUUGUUGCUGUAUUAGUGCUUAACGAAGUAGAUUAAAAGUGCAUUAUUGACAGAAACGUUAUUGAGUUCUUGAAGCAAACAGUUCCGAUUUUACCCCUGCUCUGUUCGGUCACUUUAAUGCAGAAAUUUGAGGAUUUAAUGGCUUGAUUGUGUUGUUUAAUAUGUUGUAGUAGUUGUGUAAAAAUUUUCAUUGAAAAAUACUGAGUUUUGGUGGGUCAAACGAAUUUAUUUCAAAAACUAGUAAUUUGGAAAACGGUUUCGUCGUAAUCCAGACCAGUGUUUGUAUUUCAUCCAUAACUCCGUACUCCGACGUCGAAAUCAAGUUCCGUUAGCAGCAUUUGAAACUAGGCGUUCCCAUGUUUCCAACGGUGUAUAAUGCACAUUCUGGUUUCAUGUGUGUGAGCCACACCAUUCAUCUGAAGUCGGCUGUCCUGUUUCUCCGUUCUGCCGAAAUGAUUUGAUGAUGCUGCAACUUUAGGCUUAAUUUCGAGCUAGUUGCAUGCUGAAACUUGAAACGAUUUCUUCUGUGAACUUUUAGCCCUAUGAAUGUAUUUUCCAACGCCGUAAACCAUGCUCAAUUCCAAGUUAGGUCGACUGAAUUGUGGUCAAAACAAGAACGCUGCUCUGUUUUGGAAAAGCCUAGUUUUGGGACAGAUUUGAGAUGAGACUAUUGUGGUCUUGCUAAACGAAAAUUUUGGUGUUAAACACCUACCAGAUGUACCAUGAAUGAUCCUUAGACUUUCCUUUUACAUAUGGACCAUGAUUGGAGGAUUUCCAUAGCCAAACGAUUGAAUUUGGGAAGAAAAGGAUUAAAGGCAGAUUGCCUUAAGAAUUUUUCCAAACUUUGGUUGAUUUGUUAACCACCUUUCCGAGGGUAUUUUUCCACGAAAUUUGAUAGAGAGAUACCCUUCAUAUAGGAGUAUUAUACUACAAAAUUUGGUGUCAAUCCAAGUCCGUUUCGACACUUAACAAAUGGUCCAAAGUCGGAACCAAAUCUGGAAAUUUUGUAACAGUCUUGAAUUUUUCCCAACUUUGAGCUACCAUAUCUUGGUGCUCGAAACUCCGAUUCUCGAUCCGUUUGUUCUACCCUAAACCUUACUUGCACCUCUAAUUGAGCUAUAAAUUUCAAGGGCUGGUUUUCAACGAGUGAAUUCUGCCGAAUUUCCAAAGUUAACGAAAAACCAACCCCGGCUCAAUCUUGGGUGAUUUGGAACAGCAACUUUAAGCUCAUUUUUGAACACCUUCCACUUAGAUUCAUGGAAAAAUGUCUUCUAAGAACUUUUAGUACUUUGGAAGAGGUUUCCAACGGUACCAAGUUUUCCAAUUUUUGACAUGUGGAAUCUGAGAUACGAUUUUUUUCACAAUAUCGUAUCAAAACUGAAAUUUUCUGAAUUUCAAGGAAAUGGAGUUUUUCAAGUAUUCCUUAUUUCUUCGAUAAUACUUGAACGUUUAUGCUUGAUUUCAAGAUAACAAAACUCGAUUGCUCUUGUAUAUUAAGAAACUCCACUUGAACCUCGAUUUACUAGUAAUUGAGGUUCAUUUUCAUGAAAUUUCCCAGAUUGUACUAGUGCACAAUCUUUCUUGAUAAUUGGGAUGUGUGAAUGAUAAUUCACUAUUAAAUGCUCAGGCGCUCAAGAGGACCUUCCAGAGGAUCUCACGGGAGACGCCUAAACUCGCUACUUGAAUCACUGUGAGUGUCAAGUGCAUGAACUUGUUGUUAAGUGGUUAUCUGUUUCUUAUCCGUUAUGUAAAUUUGAAAUUUUGAGACGAGGGUGUACUUUAUCGCACUCGUUCUCUUUCAAAUGAAAUUAUAUUCGAAUUUUGCUAUGUAAAUUCGUAUCCAACUUGUACAUGGUAAUGUGGAUGUGAUUUGUACAUGUGAUUCGUAUAUGUGAUCCGUAUUUGUGAUUCCUAUUUGGAAUCGUCGAUUUGAGCGUUGCUCAUCGACUUAUAUUCGUAUUCGUAUUCAUAUUCGGGGGACGCCCAAAACUCAUUGGCUAACUUUGCGAAUCGAGCCAGCAUGGGUUUGGUCGAUAAGCUUAGCAAACCAUGAGAUAUUCGUAGAGCAUGAUCUAUUGGAGAGAUCUUGCUCGGCAUUACUCGUGCAGUAUUGCCAUGAUAUACUCGAGUAUUAUCAAAAACUUUGAUGAGCGGGUCCGAUAAGGGGUGUAACGGUGACGGGAUUCGAAGAAAGUGGUGUAUCUACGGAUUUGAUACUUAUGUGGUUGACGGAGUGUCAACGUGAGAUGUGAUCAAGACUUCGACUCGACUACUUGGAAUUUAGCUUCUGAGAGCUACAGUAUCCUUGAAUUGUUUCUGUUUUUUUUCCUAUUCGAAAUGUGAAUUAUUCGAAUUUGAUAGCCUUACCUACAAUGUACUUGUUGUUGCUACUUGGUUUAUGUGUUUGCAUGUGUGUUUUCUUGGCCUCACUGAGUAUUGGCUCGUCCUAUUAGUUUGUUUUCCUUAACAGGUUGGAUUGGAAGAUUUUGGUAAAGCCGACUAGAUUAUACUUUUGAUUGGAAUCGGGGCUGUAAAUGUGUAGUCGACUUUUAAUGGUUGCAUUUUGGAACUUGAUGUAUCUUUUGUGGACAUGAUGUAAGAUUUAAAUAUUUAGUUAAGAAAACGACUUUUCUUUAUUUUGACUCGUAGUAUUUGGUAUGUAUCGUUAAGUUCGAUUUGAUUUGUCUUGAGUCCUGGCGAGAGUUGGGCAGGCGUCCCGCGGAUACCCUUGGGUUCGCCCUUGGGAGAAGUGGGGGGCGUCACAGUUUCAUACUAGUAAUUAUCGAGUAUCUUAAUUAACUCAAUUGUAGAUAUUUGAAUGUAGAUAUUAAGAGAAAGCUGAAAACAUAUUUUGCUUUUAGAGAAAAUGAGGAACUUACUUUGCUACACUAGCCCAAUGAACUCAAAAAAGAUUUUACAACAUAUGAUAGGUUGCAAUUUAUUCAUUUAUUUUAUUAUUAAUUCCUCCUAUUACCUGACUUGAUGUGGAUUUAUUUGCUGGAUUCUACUCAUUUUUAGUAUUUGACGUUUAUUUCAGGAGUAGUAAAUAUGAUAACAGGUGCCAAAUUGGCAGAAAAAGAAUUCAGAUGAUUAAACUUGUCCCAGGGGCACUUUUGGAACAGAAGAUGUCACGCCCAUUUUGGUAAUUUUCGCAAAGGAACGACGGACGGAGGGCUUCUCUUCCUGUUGAUGUGCGCCGCAAUUAAAGAAAGAGAAGGAGGAGGAAGUUGGAUAGUUAGUUUUUUUUUUCCUUAGUUCUGGCCGGCUGAAGCUUAGGAGGAAAGCUUGACUUUGGUCUUCCCUGGGACUUACUUUUGAGCUUUAAACUAGAGAAAAAGCAUUUGUUAGCUUUGAGCUUUGACUUUUCUUCUUUUAUUUUGAAUCCUGCGCAUGGCUGGAACAAGAGGGAAUUACUUCCUUUGACCCUUCUUUAGCUUAUUGUAGCUUCUGGUCUCACGCAUGUUAGGAGCAAAAAGUUGGAGCCCCUUCUUUAACUUUUCCACCUUGUUUCUCUUGAGUGGCCCUGCCCACGGAUGCUAGCAACAAUAAAGAAACUCAAUUGUCACUUGUAAUUGUCGCGUGCCUUAUAAGUGUUCGACGAAUUGCGAAUUCCUAAGAUGCAGACUAAGGCCGUGACUCUGGCUGAAAUUUCCUGCGGGCUUAGUUCACCCAAUAUGAGCUAAUCCCCUCAUUCUAGUCAAGAAACGACGGAUGCUUUGAUUCGCCUAAAAAUUGUGAGAUCGAUUUAAUUUAAUCUUUCCCUUUUAUUUAUUGGUAUUCGUGUAUUCCUUGUUUGCUACGCUUAUGGUUAUUCAAUUAAUUGAUUGUCAUGGAUCCGGAUAAUUAAUUGAUCUGAUAGCCUAUUGUCAACUAGGACAUUUAAAUCCGUAAUUGUUUGAUUGUCCUGAAUUAGUGACGACUGGCACGAUUAGCUUCGUGUCAGGGAAUACACGGGCUAACUUAAAAUAACCAUGGUAGUGUGUUAUUGGUUAGAAUAGGGCUCUUCUAAUACGUAAGGCAGUUGGGAAAUUAAAUCUUACGGGCGUACCUAGGAUUAUUCCCAAUUAGAGCAGUGAUUAACGGGCGUACCUUGAUCACCGACACAGUAAGGAGGGGUUGACUGCCAUCGCUUGCUUGGUAGUUAUAACCUAUUUAUUGAUAAGUAGUUGGGAUUGCCUUGCUUCGAUGAUCAAUUAGGUGAACCAUUGCUGAAGUUAUUUCUUGGCUAGAUCUUUAAUUAAUAUUAUCUUGAUUGUAGUGAAUUGCCAUUCGGCUUUUGGUUGUCUACGUUAUUUCCUUUUUAAUUGUUUCCUUUUUUAAUUGAUUUCGGCCUUUAAUUCUUGUUAUCCUGAGUUCAGUAAAUUGUGGUUUAAUUUCUAGUUAGUUGUUUAUUUUUAUUUUCUCAUUGAAAUUUUAGUUAAUUAUCGUCGUUCCUACAAAAUCACCCCCUGUGUUAUUUUGGAUUUCUUAAGAAACAAAUAUACCCAAUCUCUGUGGAUACGACCCUACUUGCCCUGUCUACAAAUUCAUAAUUAUUUGUGAAAAGGAAUAACCAUUCCAUUCGGGUAUAUCGGAUCAAGCAAACUCUUCGGGAACAUGAUGAAUCAAGUAACCCAUUGCACACCUAGAGUCCCUGCUCCAGUACUUGGAAUUGGGUUUUGGUCAUUUUAACUGGCAAUUAGGUUUAACUUUAUUAUUGCACAGGCUUCGACAACCUGUCAAUUUUUGGCGCCGUUACCGGGGACAGGCGUUAUUAUUUGUUUCUUUUAAAUUCAAUUUUUGUCCUAAUUUUCUAGUUUUCUUCUAGUGUAUGCCUCGAUCUUCUUGCACAGUUGACUUGAUUUUUGACCCUGAGGUAGAAAAGAUCACGCGUAGAACGAGAAAGGAAACCAGACAGCUCAGAGAAGAGCACUCCAGUGCUACAUCUCAAAGACCCGAGUCAGAAGUUGAACGAAUAGAUUCGUUUGGCAACACUUCGAGUGACUCUGACCAGGAAGAGGACACCAUGGCUAAUGCACAAACAUUAAGGGAGUUGGCUGCUCCUGAUUUAACUCAGCAGCCUUUAUGCAUUACUUUCCCCGCUUUAAAUGACAACAUUCCAUUUGAACUAAAAUCUGGUCUGAUUCAGCUUUUACCCUCUUUUCAUGGUUUACCAGGUGAAGAGCCGUAUAAGCAUCUGCAGGAGUUUGAUGUCGUGUGCAAUAGUAUGAAAUCCCCGGGAAUCACAGAAGAGCAGAUAAAAAUGAGGGCAUUUCCCUUCUCCUUGAAAGAUUCGGCGAAGGACUGGCUGUACUACCUGUCACCAGGUAGCAUCACCACGUGGGGCCAAUUGAAGAAGAAAUUUUUGGAUAAAUAUUUUCCUGCGUCCAGGGCUGCAAGUCUAAGGAAAGAAAUUUGUGGGAUCAAGCAGCAUCCAGGGGAGUCACUUUACGAAUAUUGGGAACGGUAUAAGAACUUGUUGCGCAGGUGCCCCCAACACCAAAUAAGUGAGCAGUUGAUCAUACUUUUAUGAGGGGCUCCUUUUUAGAGACAGGAGUAUCAUUGAUGCUGCAAGUGGAGGGGCACUGGUGAACAAAACCCCUCAGGAAGCACGGGAGUUAAUAGAGGGGAUGGCAGAGAAUUCACAGCAAUUCAGUACAAGAGAGGAUGUCCCAAUACGUAUGGUGAAUGAGUAGAGACACCCUCUAUGCAGCAGCAGCAGCUAAAUGAGUUGACUGCGUUUGUUAGGCAACAGGCUGUGAGAAAUGCAUCACAAGCCAGGGUAUGCGGGAUUUGCACUGGUAUAGGUCACUCUGCAGACAUGUGCCCAAUGAUUCAGGAAGAAACUGCAGAACAGGUGAACAUGGCUGACCACGCGCCCGCGCCAAGGAAGCAGUACGACCCUUACUCAACACCUACAACCCCGGGUGGAGAGAUCAUCCCAACCUCAGUUAUGGAGGGAAUAGGCAACCCAACUUUACACCGAACAGGCAGUCUAACUUUGUGCCAAAUAAGCCACCAGGGUACCAGCAGCAAUACCAACCCUGACCACCUCCGCCCCUCAAUCUGGUUCAUCUACGGAGGAGAUGCUGAAACAAAUGAUGACAACCAUGACGCAAAAUCAGCAAAGGACGAAGGCAGUUAUUAUGCAAAAUCAGCAAAGGACGGACUCCGAAAUGCAGGAUAUAAGGAAUCAGAUAAGUCAACUGGCCACCAAAGUUAACCGUUUGGAGUCCCAGAACCAAGGGAAGCUGCCAUCUCAACCGGAGUUGAAUCCGAAGAACGUGAGCGCAAUGACCCUAAGGUGGGAAAGAAAUUCAGGGGCCUGAACCUGUGAUCCCUAAGGACAAGGAUGAAGAAAAUCGAAAAUGAGCUUGGAAGGGAGGACAGCAAUGGUGCAGAUCAAAAGGUACUUCCUGAUCCAAUAAUUACAGUUAAAACUAACCCGCCUCCUUUUCCUAACAGGUUGGAAAAAUCGAAGAAACAGGAUAAGGAGAAGGAGAUCUUGGAGGUUUUUCGCAAGGUUGAGAUAAAUAUCCCACUCUUAGACGCCAUCAAACAAGUACCAAAAUAUGCCAAGUUCCUAAGGGACUUGUGUGUCAACCGAAAGCGAUUGAGGGGGAUGAAAGGAUUAUUGUUGGGGAAAACGUGUCUGCGGUCCUGCAGAGAAAGCUCCCACCAAAGUACGGGGACUCAGGUAUGUUUACUAUUCCCUGUAGGAUAGAUAAUACUGUGAUCAGAAGGCCAUGUUGGAUCUGGGAGCAUCGAUUAAUGUCAUGCCUAAAUCUAUCUAUGCUUCUUUGAAACUAGGUCCAUUAAAAGAAACUGGAAUAAUUAUUCAAUUAGCUGACCGAACUAAUGCAUAUCCUGAUGGGUUGAUUGAAGAUGUGUUGGUAAAGGUCAAUGAUUUGGUGUUUCCAGCUGAUUUUUAUGUACUUGAUAUGGAUGAUGAUCACUCCCCUGAUCCCUCACCUUUGUUAUUGGGUAGACCUUUUAUGAGCACAGCACAGACGAAAAUUGAUGUUAAUAAGGGUACCUUGUCCAUGGAGUUUGAUGGGGAAAUUGUGCAUUUUAACAUUUUUGAUACUAUGAAGUACCCCUCGAACUCCAACUUUAGCUCAAUUUUUUCUGUGAGUGCUAUUGACCCUGUAGUGCAGGAAGUGUUUGAAACUGAUGGCAGGGAUGAGUUGGAAGUGGCUUUAACCAAGCACCUCGAGUUGGAGACAACUCCUCAGGUGGAGUGGAGUGAGGAUUUAAAAUGCACAAUAGAUGCAUUACACUCAUUGCGACCCCACGAAAAGGUAUGAAAUCUUACCUAUUUUUACUCCCGAGCCUCACCAGAGCGUAUUGCCAUCUGUGGUGUAGGCACCUGUACUGGAGUUGAAACCUCUACCAGAGCACCUGAAAUAUGCAUAUUUGGGUGAUAAUGAGACACUCCCGGUGAUUAUCUCAUCGGCACUGUCAAAAAUCCAGGAGGAGAAACUGAUCCGGGUCCUUAGAGAGCAUAAAGAGGCGAUAGGUUGGACAAUUGCAGACAUUAAGGGGAUCAACCCGGCCGUCUGUAUGCAUCGGAUUAGACUAGAAGAGGAUGCCAAACCUGUACGACAGGCUCAAAGGAGGCUCAAUCCCCUCAUGAUGGAAGUUGUAAAGAAAGAAAUCUUAAAAUUGUUAGAUGUGGGGAUUAUUUUUACAAUAUCAGAUAGCCCUUGGGUGAGCCCGGUCCAGGUAGUCCCAAAGAAGGCAGGAGUGACUGUAGAGGCCAACCAAACGGGUGAACUCGUGCCAGUGCGCAAACCCACUGGAUGGAGGCAAUGUAUAGACUACCGUAGGCUAAAUGCCGUCACAAAAAGGACCACUUCCCUCUCCCUUUCAUUGACCAAAUGGUUGAACGUUUAGCUUGUAGGGCUUAUUAUUGCUUUUUGGAUGGAUUUUCAGGAUACUUUCAGAUAGCAAUUGCCCCGAAGGAUCAAGAGAAGACAACCUUCACGUGCCCGUUCGGGACCUUUGCCUACAGACGAAUGCCAUUCGGGUUAUGCAAUGCACCUGCAACAUUUAAGAGGUGUAUGGUAAGUAUUUUUUCUGAAUAUGUGGAGAAAAUUAUUGAAGUUUUCAUGGACGAUUUCAGUGUAUAUGGUGAUAGUUUUGAUACGUGUCUAGAUAAUCUGAAAUUGAUCUUGAUAAGGUGUAUAGAGACUAAUCUUGUGCUUAAUUGGGAAAAAUGUCAUUUUAUGGUUGAGCACGGGAUAGUCAUGGGUCAUAUUGUAUCGUCUAAGGGCAUAGAAGUUGACAAGGCUAAAAUAGACAUUAUUUCUGCAUUACCUUACCUCGCGAGUGUGCGGGAGGUGCGUUCUUUUCUUGGACAUGCAGGUUUUUAUCGAAGGUUCAUCAGGGACUUUUCAAAAAUUGGAGCCCCGUUGUUCCAACUCCUACAAAAGGAUGUGACCUUCGAAUUCAAUGACAAAUGUGAGAAGGCCUUCGACAAGUUGAAAGAAUUGUUGACUUCACCCCCAAUCAUCCAGCCCCCUGACUGGAGUCUACCAUUUGAGAUUAUGUGCGAUGCCAGUGAUCAUGCUGUAGGGGCUGUAUUGGGGCAAAGAGUAGGGAAGGCAGCUCACGUCAUCUAUUAUGCAUCCCGAGCAUUGAAUGGAGCCCAGUUGAAUUACUCCACCACUGAGAAGGAGCUUCUUGCAGUUUUUUGCUUUAGAAAAAUUCAGGUCAUAUUUGCUAGGUGCUAAAGUAAUUGUAUUUUCUGACCAUGCAGCAUUAAGGUACCUAAUGACCAAGAAAGAUGCAAAGCCGAGGCUCAUCAGGUGGAUAUUGCUACUACAGGAAUUUGACCUGGAGAUAAGAGACAAAAAAGGCUCAGAAAAUCUAGUAGCAGACCAUUUAAGUCGCAUACCAAUUGGGGAGGAUAAUAAGCCAUUGAAGGAUGCAUUCCUUGAAGAGCAUUUAUUUUCCUUAAAUUCUCAAUUGUCUUGGUAUGCUGAUUUGGUCAAUUAUCUAGUAACGGGUGAUUUUCCUGCAGGUUGGCCAAAAUCGAAAAAGGAUAAAUUGAAAAGUGACGCCAAGUAUUUCAUCUGGGACGACCCGUACCUAUGGAAGAGAUGUGCCGACCAAAUAAUGAGGAGAUGUGUAAGUGAAGUGGAAUUUCAAUCAAUUUUAGCUUUUUGCCAUACUUUUGCCUGUGGAGGUCAUUUUGGACCUAAGAGAACUGCUCAGAAGGUUUUAGAAAGUGGAUUUUAUUGGCCUUCACUGUUUAAAGAUGCCUAUGUGUUUUGUAAGUCCUGUGAUCGCUGUCAACGGGUAGGUAAUAUAGCCCGAAGGAUCAAAUGCCCCAGGUCUCGUUGAUUUUUAUUGAAAUUUUUGAUGUCUGGAGUAUAGAUUUCAUGGGGCCUUUUCCUACUUCAUUUGGUUUUUAUAUAUUUUGCUGGCAGUUGAUUAUGUGUCUAAAUGGGUGGAGGCUAAGGCCACUCGAACUAAUGACUCGAAAGUAGUUGCAGAUUUUAUCAGGUCUAAUAUUUUUGUGCGAUUUGGAAUGCCUAGAGCUAUUGUCAGUGAUAGGGGAACGCACUUUUGCAACAAAACCAUAGCUGCGUUGUUUCGCAAGUAUGGUGUACUCCACAGGGUCUCAACGUCAUACCACCCUCAGACCAAUGGUCAAGCGGAGGUGUCGAAUCGGGAGAUUAAGACCAUUUUAGAGAAAAUGGUGCGCCCUAAUAGGAAAGAUUGGAGCCAAAGGUUGGAGGACGCACUCUGGGCCUAUCGGACGGCGUACAAGACUCCUAUAGGGAUGUCACCGUACAUGUUGGUAUUUGGGAAGCCGUGUCACCUUCCAGUGGAGUUCGAGCACAAGGCUUUUUGGACGAUAAAGCAAUGUAAUAUGAAUCUAGAAGAGGCCGGUGUUCAACGGAAGCUGGAUUUGCAAGAAUUGGAGGAGAUCCUGAACGAAGCAUAGGAAAACGCCUUGAUUUAUAAGGAGAAAAACCGGGCAUUUCAUGACCUACAAAUUUCAAGAAAAACAUUUGAAGUUGGUCAGAAGGUACUCCUGUACCAAUCCAGGCUCAAGCUAUUCCCAGGUAAGCUACGUUCCCGUUGGAUUGGACCUUUCAUUGUUACUCACGUUUUUCCAUAUGGUGCAGUUGAGAUCCGAAGUGCUAAGACAGCUAACAAAUUUGUGGUGAAUGGACACCGUCUCAUAUAUUAUUACGAAAGAUUUUCGGAUAGAGAGGUGGAGACAAUAAGGCUUGACGCACCACCGUGUCCUAAUCAGUGACACUUUACCAUGUCUAGCCAAAAACAUUAAAGAAAGGCGCUCAUUGGGAGGCAACCCAAUUGUUCUUUUUAGUUCGUUGUUCAAUUUCGUGUAGUAGUUUAGAAGUGUUCUCCUGGUUGUUCGACUGAUUUUGGGGUUUCAGUUUUCGUUUUUGCUGAUUUAUAGGUGCUCUUGCCCUCAUGACGUGCCCGCGUGGUGAUGUGCAGGACGCUCACGAUCAGGAACUUCUGAAACUUCUGGGAGCUCUCUUGCCCUCUUGACGUGCCCGCGUCACGUUCGCGGGAAAGGUAAGGAUUCAAAAAAAAAAUAGAAAAAAUUAUUAUUAUUAUUUCAUUUAUUCAAAUAAUAACAAAAAUAAAAAAAGGAAAAAAAAUCAAGAGCAAGAAAAAUUUUUUCCUCUUAACCGUAGCAAUUUCUUUUAUUUCAAAAAGAAAGAAAAAAAAAACACACACACACGAGAGUUCCUUUCUUUUUCUUUCUUCUUUUCCCUUUCUUCUUCUUUCUUUCUUUCUCUUUUCUUUCUUUCUCCCCUGCUGCUCCCUGCUCUCUGCGCACGCCACAGCCAAAUCCAUUUAUCGCCAUUGCCGCCGCGCGCUCGACCAGCCCAAGCCGCCGCCAUCGUUGCUAGAGUCGCGCGCCGCUGCUGCUCUGCGCGCCUCUCGCCAUCGCCACCUGCCAGCAAGUCUGCCCGCGCGCCGCCGCCAGUCAGCAGAUCUCUCUCCCCAUCGCCGUCCGCGAUCUACCACUGUUGCCACCACAGGUCAACCGCGCCACAGCGCUGCCGCUGCUGUAGUUCCGGCGCAGCCACCACCAGCCGCCGAGCGACCCACUGAGCGAGUCGACGCCCGCGACCCAGCGCGCCACCAAGCCGCGGCCCAUCCUCUGCGCCGCCGCUGCCAAAGUUCCAUCGUCGCCCACGCGACUCCCACCGCACUUGGCAACGAGCCCACGGGCACGCGCAGCAACCUCUGUCCGGCAACCGUGCUCUGCACAUGGACACCACCAGCUGCACCUCCGCCUCUCUGUCUGCCGCCUGGAGUAGUCCCAGUGGAGCUAACUGUGGGAGAAAUGGUCCGACCAAAGUCAUCAUCUAGGUCUAGGGCCUCUCGUUCUCAGCCCCUCCACAGGCCUCUAUUCCAGUCAACUCACCUACCAACCUACCCUCCUCUUCUAGUGUUCGAACCCGUUUGGGUAGGGGUAGGGGUAGGGGUGCGCAGGUAGAUACCCCAGUUCACUUUGGGGGCACCUAAACUUCACUAGACCCGCCGAUCAGGAGCGAUAUGCUAAGGUCUGCGAGCGGCGGAUUACACCAAGCAAGACUUGGGAAAAAUUAACCGUCAUGGGUCUAGGCAUACGAGAGGAGGUCGAGCAGAUGUUUACAGCUAUCGGGUGGCGCUCAUAUCUCGAUAUCUUAUGCCCCGCCUUUGUCGAGCUGACUCGGGAGUUUUACUCCACCUUUGAGUUCGAGUUACCUACGAGAUACACCGUUGACACACCACAGGUCAUUCAUUUCCGGCUCAUGGGUCGAGAGUUCAAUUUCUCCAUUACCCAAUUCAAUCGGGCAUUUGGGUUUAUCACUAGAGAGUAUGCUAGGACUAGGGAGUAUGCAGAGAGUGCUUGUGACUACGUUGAGCCGUUCCUCUCUCACUACCAUGAUGUGUGGGAAGACAUGUCCGUCGAUCAGCAGCGCUACGAUCCUUCCCGGUCUAGGAGCUCCUUUCUUAAGGACCCUAGUGCCCGCUAUGUUCAGCGUUUCUUAACCUACAGCUACUCGGGGCGCAAGGACAGCUCUGGCAUACUCUCUCGCCCUGAGUUCUUCUUCCUCUGGAGUAUGAUGAACAAUAUCAAGGUUAAUUUGGGGUGUUGGUUGGCCGCACAGUUCAAGACCGUCUUGGCCAAAAAGAACAAACCCCUUAUCCUUGGGUCCUAUAUCACUCACUUGGCGAUACAGUUGGGGGUUCUUAACCUGGAGGACCACGACCUGCAUUUGGCGUGCGAGAUGGAGCUCUUGGACGUAGACUGCUUGGAGAGGAUGGGAGUCAUUGAGCGCCUGACUGAUGGUUCCUACCAGUUCACCCCCCGGGACCACUUAGAGCUCCGGUGCGCAUCAUUCGUCCCGGGCAGGGCCCUCCUCCUUUCCUGGAUCAGCCGAGAACACAGUUGGGCCAUCUUCUUCUACGCCACCUCCACCGCAUGGGACUACUGAAUGGCAGCAACUCCGGGAGCAGGUUCAGACUUUGCAGGCUCGGAUGAUCAACGUUGACGCCAAUGUCGCCGGCAUAGCCCAGAAUUUGGCGCAGUUUCUGAUGCAUACAGGCUUUGCACCCCCGUUUCCACCUCGCCCUCCGCUAUGACCCGAUUUCAGGGAAGUUUGGCUGAUCCCCUGACACUUUUGCUUCAAUUUUGGUUUUUAUUUGUCACAUUGAGGACAAUGUGUCUAUAGAUGUGGGGGGAGGAUCUAAGGGGGUGGGUGCUAGUGUUUUCCGUUUUUAGUAAAAAAAAAUAAAAAUAAAAAAAAAGAAAAAACAUGUAAGUUUCUAGUUCUUAGUAGUUUCUCUUAGUUUUAUUUCCAGUUGCUCGUUUUCGUUCUUUCUUCUUGGUGCUUACCUCUCAUGUGAAUGUUAAAAUUGAUGUGGAAUUAUUGACUCCAAGUCUACUUUUGCCAAGUUUUUUAAAAUACAAAGGUAUCGGGUUGAUGUGGUUGGAUCCGAGAUAUCUCCUUGGUGAAUAUCGGAUUGAUUGGCUCUUUUGAUUUCUGUGUUAACUUUUCUAGACGUUGGGAAUGACUGUUGGCAUUUUAAUGUGAACUGGUCCAAUAUUGACUCCAGUUCUCUAUGUUUGGCAAUAAUGAGGCGAGCUGUUCCUAUUUUUGGCUCUUAGUGUUGUUAUUAUGUGUUUUUUGGCUUUGUUUGGCUGUGAAUAAUCUGGACUGUACUCCGCUAUGAGUUACUACUGAGUAGCCAGGGAUCGGCACCUCAAAGUGUCGAUUAUCGCGUCAAAAGGUGGUACUUUAUAUGAGUAUGUGGUCGUAUAGCGGUAGGAGCUGAGUAACCGGGCUCCUUCAUCUAAAAGUGUGGGAGUUCGCGUCAAAAGGCCCAACGGCUAACGAUUAAGUUUUUUUGUGUUAAGUAUUAAUUGUUGUCAAAAAAAAAAAGAGAGAGAAUAAAUAAUGGGAAGGCUUGCCGAUUUAUGGACUUAAUAUGGAGAGUUGUGUGAAUAUUUGGACCAUUAGCUGAUAAAUGUUGUGCGCCAUUCCUUUUUCUUAGAGUAGUUAACCUGGAAAUUGAAGGAAUUUGCAGUUUAGGGGCUAACCGGGGGGGAGGCUUCUUGGAUUUUAAUCACCGAUGCUCGAUAUAUGUUUUUCUCUUGAAUAUCUUGGCCAAUAUAGGAGAUUGGGCAAUGGCCAUCAUCGAAUUUUGGUGUUCGUUUACUAUUCUUAUGCUUGAGGACAAGCAUGGUUUAGGUGUGGGGGGAAUUGAUAUGUUGCAAUUUAUUCAUUUAUUUUAUUAUUAAUUCCUCCUAUUACCUGACUUGAUGUGGAUUUAUUUGCUGGAUUCUACUCAUUUUUAGUAUUUGACGUUAUUUCAGGGAGUAGAAUAUAAAUAUGAUAACAGGUGUCAAAUUGGCAGAAAAGAGAAUUCAGAUGAUUAAGCUUGUGCCCAGAGGCACUUUUGGAACAGAAGAUGUCACGCCCAUUUUGGUAAUUUUCGCACAAGGAACGACGGACGGAGGGCUUCUCUUCCUGUUGAUGUGCCGCAAUUAAAGAAAGAGAAGGAGGAGGAAGUUGGAUAGUUUUUUUUUCCUUAGUUCUGGCCGGCUGAAGCUUAGGAGGAAAGCUUGACUUUGGUCUUCCCUGGGACUUACUUUUGAGCUUUAGAAAACUAGAGAAAAAGCAUUUGUUAGCUUUGAGCUUUGACUUUUCUUCUUUUAUUUUGAAUCCUGCGCAUGGCUGGAACAAGAGGAAUUACUUCCUUUGACCCUUCUUUAGCUUAUUGUAGCUUCUGGUCUCCACGCAUGUUAGGAGCAAAAAGUUGGAGCCCACCUUCUUUAACUUUUCCACCUUGUUUCUCUUGAGUGGCCCUGCCCCACGGAUGCUAGCAACAAUAAAGAAACUCAAUUGUCACUUGUAAUUGUCGCGUGCCUUAUAUAAGUGUUCGACGAAUUGCGGAUUCCUAAGAUGCAGACUAAGGCGUGACUCUGGCUGAAAUUUCCUGCGGGCUUAGUUCAACCAAUAUGCUAAUCCCCUCAUUCUAGUCAAGAAACGACGGAUGCUUUGAUUCGCCUAAAAAUUGUGAGAUCGAUUUAAUUUAAUCUUUCCCUUUUAUUUAUUGGUAUUCGUGUAUUCCUUGUUUGCUACGCUUAUUGGUUAUUCAAUUAAUUGAUUGUCAUGGAUCCGGAUAAUUAAUUGAUCUGAUAGCCUAUUGUCAACUAGGACAUUUAAAUCCGUAAUUGUUUGAUUGUCCUGAAUUAGUGACGACUGGCACGAUUAGCUUCGUGUCAGGGAAUACACGGGCUAACUUAAAAUAACCAUGGUAGUGUGUUAUUUGGUUAGAAUAGGGCUCUUCUAAUACGUAAGGCAGUUGGGAAAUUAAAUCUUACGGGCGUACCUAGGAUUAUUCCCCAAUUAGAGCAGUGAUUAACGGGCGUACCUUGAUCACCGACACAGUAAGGAGGGGUUGACUGCCAUCGCUUGCUUGGUAGUUAUAACCUAUUUAUUGAUAAGUAAUUGGGAUUGCCUUUGUUUCGAUGAUCAAUUAGGUGAACCAUUGCUGAAGUUAUUUCUUGGCUAGAUCUUUAAUUAAUAUUAUCUUGAUUGUAGUGAAUUGCCAUUCGGCUUUUUGGUUGUCUACGUUAUUUCCUUUUUAAUUGUUUCCUUGUUUUAAUUGAUUUAGGCCUUUAAUUCUUGUUAUCCUGAGUUCAGUAAAUUGUGGUUUAAUUUCUAAUUAGUUGUUUAUUUUUAUUUUUCUCAUUGGAAUUUUAGUUAAUUAUCGUCGUUCCUACAAAAUCAUCCCCUGUGUUACUUUGGAUUUCUUAAGAAACAAAUAUACCCAGUCUCUGUGAUACGACCCUACUUGCGCCUGUCUACAAUUCAUAAUUAUUUGUGAAAAGGAAUAACCAUUCCAUUCGGGUAUAUCGGAUCAAGCAAAUUCUUCGGAAUAGGGUGAAUCAAGUAACCCAUUGCACACCUAGAGUCCCUGCUCCAGUACUUGGAAUUGGGUUUUGGUCAUUUUAACUGGCAAUUAGGUUUAACUUUAUUAUUGCACAGGUUUCGACAACCUGUCAAUAUAUGACUAUCAUUUUUUGAUGUAUAAAAAUGUACAAACAAAUAUUUUUGUUUAAAGUCUUCGUUUAAAUAGAAUUAAUAUUCUUAUGGAAGAAAUAGCAAGAGAAGUCAGACAUUCAAAUUAGAUAGAAGUGUAUAACGUGAACAAGCAUAUUGAUUAUAACAUAUUUGUGUUGGAAAUUUUGCCUUAAAUUUAAGUGUUCUUCAUAUGCAUUUUCCUAAGCUUAAUUAAUACAUUCAUUCCCUUUUAGAUUCAUUCUUGUAUUCAUGUACCUUCUAGGAUUCAUUCCUUUUAGAUUCAUUCUUAGAUUCAUGUUCCUCUUAGAAUUUACUAGUUCUUUCAUAUAACUUCUAAAUUCAUGUACUUUGUAAUAAUGAUGGUACAUGCAUCUCUAUUCUUGUGUUCCUAUAAAUAGAGGAUUUGGAUUUUCAAUGUAAAAGUAAAUUCUAUUUUUAUUCCUCCUUCUUACAUGUAUUUUUAUUCUUUUCGGAUCACACUUUGGUUCCAAGUAAUCCAUUACAAGGUCAAAACUUGAUUUGUGAAUACACGCGAUCGAUGCUAGUCGUUGUUCUAUCUUGGAAAGUGACCACUUAGUGACCCAUAUUGCACCAUGGACAUAUUCCUGUGGGAGUAAGAUCACUUUUACGGGCAAUAGGGUAUCCUACAUUUUGAUUUUCCUUCUAGUCGUCAAUUACUCUAUUUCUUUGAAUUCUUUUCCUAAAUCAGAGUACUUGCAUUCUAACAAUUUGAAUCUUAUGAAGUUCCACAUUUUACAUUAGUGAUUUUGCAGAGUGCCCUAUAUAUAGGACCACAAGUCAAUACUAUAAACAAAGCCAAAUAGUAUGUGAACAAAAGGUCAUGGAAUAAGUGACCACGUUAAGGAACAUGUAUCUGCCACCAAGUGGUUCCGGCAAUAGCAUUCUAGGUGGAAGGUCACCUGCUUUUGAUGGAGAAAUCAACUCACAAGUAAACCAAACCCCACCAUCAUAUCCACACCUAAAUUUACUCCUACUAGAAGUUAUUAGUGUGAAUUAAUUAAUACUUUGUUUUUUCCUAAUUUCUUUUUAUUGAAAAAAAAAUUAAACAUGGUUAACUCUUAUUUGUCCUUUCGAUUACAUUCAUGGAUCAUAUGAUAUGAGAUUAUUGACUUGUACAAUGCCUUGUUUGUUUUUAAACCAACAACUCCGUAGUUGUGGGUUGAACCAAUACUUAAACUUGUGGACCAUAAUUGAAAUGCUUGUCCUUUUUUUCUGAAAUUCAUCGAUCACAUGAUAUGAUGAUUUGUCUGUUUUUUAUCGACAGUUUUAUAGUUUUGAGUUGAUUUAACGCUUAAACUUGAGAUGACUGACUUUUGUGGAUUGAUUUAACAUUUAAAUUUGGAAGCCAUAUAACAUGAGAUAAUCAAACCAGUAACAUUAUGGUACUGAAUUGAACUUGUGCACAUGGCAAGAGGACUUGUCUCAUUAAAAGUCACAUCCUGUUAUUCAUAAAACAUAUUCUUGAUCUCAAGUAAAAGGAAGAAUUCUUUAAUAACAAUGAUGGCAAUGGGAAACUUUUUAAAUCAUGACCUAUUAUUACAAGUAAAGGAGCUGCUUUAGAAAUAGGAAACAAUCCCAAAUGAAAAAUCCACCUACAUAAGCUACUGCUUUAUCUACACCUUCAUUUCAAGGUUUCUAGAACCUUUUCCUCACAAGACUAAAAAUAUCUUUCUUUUCAGUUUCCAUGAUUGCUGUGUACUGGUGGGGACAAAGACAGACAUUGACAGAUAAUGACUGUAACCUUUUAUUUCUUCUCAAUUUUUGUUAUAGUUUGUAAUAUACUUUCUGAUGCAUUUGAAGAUUUGCCCCACUUAUUUUGACCUCCAGUGCCUUGCCAUUUCAAAGCCAUUCUUGGCAUAAUGAUAAUCCUCUUCAGUUUGAUCAAUUUCAGCCUGUGUAUUCAUGACAAAGGGACCGUAUUGAACUACUGGUUCAUUCAGUGGCUGCCCUCCUAUUAGAACAAAUCUCAGUGGCCUGGAAGACCUGUUCCAUACACUGAGGCCUUCUCCAGGACCCAAAAGCAAAGCAUGGUGAGCAGCAACAGGUGAUGAAUUCGGUAUUCCAAACACCCUUCUCCAUCAAUUGUGUACACAAAAGCAUUCCAGGAUUCUGGGAUGCUUUGAUGAUAUUGAGCUCUUGGUUUCAGAGUGAAAUCCAAGUACAUUGUUGGGGUUCGCGUAUAAACCGGAGAAUGGACUCCCAUUGAUUCUCCUGCUUUACUUUAACUUCAACUCCAUCUUCCUCUGCCCUUGGAAUGUCCUCAUCCAGCAAUUCUUGAUACCUUGGCUCAAUCCUGCAAUGAGUACGGAGGGCGAUUUUAUUAGAGGAAAGUAGCAAUAAGUCAAUAUUUACGGACUAAUGAUGUACUACUGUUGACAGUGCAUUAGGCACCAGUACCAUCCUUACUAAAAAAGAUUCUGAAAUCAUUAGGCACUUAUCUGAACCUUAGUGGAUCAAAUAGAAGGGCUUAUUGAUCAACACCAAUUCGCAGAAAGUAGCCUUCUAGAACACCGUGUUUAAACAUGACUUUCUAAAAUUAAUGGAGUAAUGUCACAAUCCACAAAUAGCCUGCUAAAUGCUAAAAUUCGAUGUCUUAAUCAGAAAGGUAAUCUACAUAUAUUCUGUGCGGUACAUGUGUCUGGAAUCAGGUCAAAAUGGACUAGAAAACGGACAUGCCUGGUAACUUACAUUUUGUCCUUGGAAGCAAGAUUGAUCCAAAGCUGCAGGCCUGUCUGUGUACCUCCUGCUGCAGGCAUUUCCGAAUGAAUUAUGCCUCUUCCUGCAGUCAUCCACUGCACAAAACCCCACAUAGGAAUUGCUUACUACUGAAUUUUUUCAUUAGUUCUUGAAUUAGCAGUACAAUAAUUCAGUGAAAAAGUUGUAAGAAAGGUAUGAAAAUUUACCUGCACAUCACCGGUGCGGAUUGUGCCCUUGUGACCAGCAAAAUCUUGGUGUGUAAAAGCUCCCUAAAGAAAACAAGGCCCAAAUUUCCGGUCAUACAUAAAUUCUGGUAAUCUAGGACAGAAUUUCAGGUACAAAAAGUCGGUCUCUUUACCUGCAACAUGUAUGUAACAGUCUCAAAACCUGCACAAUAUCAGGGAGCAGAAAGUAAGAUAACUGAUCAAAUCCAACGUAUGGAAAACAGAAUCAGGUAAUUUGAUUGAAACAGAGUUGAAUGUAUGUGUCAUGAACCUCUGUGCGGGUGAUCCGGGAAUCCAGCAGGGGGUGAAACUGCAAGAACACAUUUGAAUCAACAAUCAAAGACCAAAUUAAGCAACAUUUUGCUUUUGGGCAAAAAUUAAGCAGCACUGAAACUGAUAAAACAGUGUGAAACGCAUCAUACAUCAAAAUAUAAAGAAUGCGUUACCAAAUUCAGCACAAAUUCAAGAAUUCUGUAAAAGUUCUAUCCAAAGAAUCAUGAAGAAAACCAUAUGCAGAGUUUUAUUUCAGAAACACCAUAAUCAAGAACACUAGGAUUUUAGUAAAUUGUACCUGCAAAUUCAUCCAACAUGAGGAAAGGAUCAAUAUACUUCAGUUCGGACCUGUCCAUCCAUUCAACCAAACAAAAUUCAGAGAUAAUCAGAACCCAUGUCACCAAAUGUUCCAAAAACGCUCAAAAUCAAAUGAAUUUCAGAAAACAAGAAUGCAAGAAUUUACGAAACCACGUUCCCGGAUGCAAUGCCUACGUAUUACUACAACAUAAUUUCAUUAAACAAACCAAAAAAACCCACAAAAAAAGAAGAAAUUACCUGCCAAUGCUCCUUCUAACAACAGCACCAUCUCCUUCACUCUGUGGCUUAGCCAAGACUUUCUUGACAACAAGUCUUGGACUAUCAAAACCAGAGCUUUGAUCUGACGACGUAGACAUGGUUAUUCCUCUGAUAAAACUGUAAACUCCCUUGUUGUUUCUUGUAUUUGCAAUUCUUGUUGGAUGCAAAUUCACUAGAAAUUGUCUAGACAAAGCUCUCAUGUAAUAUUUGCUUGUGCUUGAUUUUCCAACUCUUGCUCUUCUUGUCUAUAUAUAUAUAUAUAUGGACACGCCGAACAAGAAAAGAUGGCCGUGGUGUUCCCGUAUAAUUUUAGUGUGUGAGUGUGUGUAUUUUAUAACGACUUUGGGGAUGCGGGAAGCCAGGAAGGCUGGGGUUGGUUAGGAAUCUAAAGGGGGCGUGGGGAAAAUUGGAAAUGGGGUCCACUUCUUCCUCUUUGGACCAAUGAUUUGAUGACAUCAUACUCAUGUCACCAUGAUGGUGGACUACUAGCCUGAGCCGUUGGCCCAAAAAAAAAAAGAAGAUUUACUCAAAGUAAAAAACAUAAUUUAAAAUAUGAAAAUAUGGGUCUAUUUCUGACCCCCGAAGGAAGCUUUAUUAGGAUUUGAAUCUAUUCCAAAAGUUUUUCCUUUUGGGCAAAAUUUUUUUUAGCUAAAUGAUAUAUUAACUGAUUGAAUAACAUUUACUUGUUGGGGGUGAAGAUGUAAAAAUCUUUUUUUUUGGGGGUAAAGGUAAAGUAUGCUUCUGUAAAUGGGGAAGUGGAUUAAUUUAAAAUUUUAGGGUAUUUUACGUGACAGCAUGGCAAGACUUCAUUGAAAAAUUAACCAAAGAAAAAAAAAUAAUAAACUUUGGCAAUCAGCCAAAAAAAAUUUUGAGGUCAAUUUAAUAAAGUGUUUGACUUUUGGGGGGAAAAAUGAAAAAAGAAAGAUGAUGAACUAAAAGCCAAAGGGAUGGUUGAAAUUAGCUACAAGUGGAUAACUAAUAUUUAGCCCAUGCAUUAGAACUGAUUUUUUUAAUUAUAAUUAGUUAUGUAUCGAUGCAAAACAUAAAUAAUUCAUCAACAAUGUUUAUACAUAUUAUUCACGUUUGUAUUAGAAAAAUAUUGUAUUUCAAACAUAACUACCAUAUUAGCCUUUACAAACUUUUAUACAUAAAUUUAUUAGAAUGUGAUAAUAUUCAUUAAAUAAUAUAAUACAUAAAAAAGUAAUAGGUAUUCUUUGAGAUAGUAAUUAAAUUUUGGGAUAAUUUCAGAAACCUCCCCUGAGGUUUCUGACAUUUACACUCACCUCCCCUGUGGUUUGAACAAUUACACUAACCUCCCCUGAGGUUACUAAUCCUUUACAAAUUCAGUCCAAAUGAUUAAAAUAUUGUUUUAUAGAGUGAAAUUAGAAUUUUGUACCUGAUUUGCCCUUUGUGCUACAUGUCCAAUGAAUGACAAAGUAUUAAAAAUUAAUUAAAAAUUAAUAAAUUUUAAAGAGCGUAGUUUAUAGGCAAAUACGUAUUACUUAUUUAAAGUACCACCUCUUUACGGGUAUUUUACUUUCAAACAUUUACUUUAUUACAAAUAUUUAUUCUCAAAUACAGAUUUGUAUUUAUUCUCAAAUAUUUAAUUUUUGUUAAAUAAAAAACCUACCAGUUUUUCUUUCGUAGAAAUAUUAAUAUAACACUUUUUCAAUUUUAGUUAUAAAUAUUUAUGUAUUUAGCAUAAAUUAAAUGAUUCAGGAUAAAAUACUCAUAAAGAGCUAAUACUUUACUCAUGUAAUGGAUGAAAACCAUAAAAAAUUAAUACUUUAUGGGCCAUUUCUUUUUUUAAAAAAUAUUUAAUUUAUAUUAAAUAGAUAACCUACUGAUUUUCUUUUUACGAGAAUAUUACUGUAACACUUUUUAAUUUUUAAUCACAAAUGUUAAUAUAUUUGUAAUAAAGUAAAUAUUUGAAAGUAAAAUACCUGUAAAGAACUGGUACUUUAAAUAAGUAAUACAUAUUUGCCUAUAAACUACGCUCCUUAAAGUUUAUUAAUUAUUAAUUAAUUUGUAAUACUUUGUCAUUCAUUGGACACGUAGCACAAAGGGCAAAUCAGGUACAAAAUUUUAAUUUCACUCUAUAAAACAAUAUUUUAAUCAUUUGGACUGAAUUUGUAAAGGAUUAGUAACCUCAGGGGAGGUUAGUGUAAUUGUUCAAACCACAGGGGAUGUGAGUGUAAAUGUCAGGAACCUCAGGGGAGGUUUCUGAAAUUAUCCCUUAAAUUUUCUCAUGAAAAUAAUUAUACACCUAUUUAUAUUCAUUUUUAGUUCAGGACCAAAAAAAAAGGCAGCAAUCUAUUUUUAUAUGAAUGGUUUUUUAAUUUGAACCAACGUUAAUAAAUUUAACAAUGUAACAAUUAAAUUUACACUAAGAAAAGUUACUGAUAUGGAUAAAAAGUAAAAAUUGAUUAAAUGCGAUAGAUGUUGCUAGAAUGGAGAGAAAUUAUAAGCGAAAUUGAUUAGAGGAGAUUUAGAUGCAAAAAUAGGUAAAAUCUAAGUAUUCAUUCGUCGAUUAAUUCUUUUCAAUUAAGCACAUCACCUAGGAUAGAGAAAAUGAUUAAUUGAAGUGAGAACUUUCAUGAGUCUAGCCUCUAGGUAGGGUUUAAGUUCAGAUCUAUAUCAUGACAUGAAUCAAGCAAAAUUAGAUCCUAUCCAAACCCAUGAUUUUGGUAAAGGAUCUGAAUCUAGGUAGAGUUUACGUUGAAAAGUUGGAUCUAAAUUCAAGAAAAACACAAUAGACCUGAGUUGCGAUUGGUAAUACUCUACCCAUUUUCAUGCUUACUAGUAUUAGCUAUUGAUAUGUACAUUGAUGUUUUAGAACAACUACCCUUUCUAAUCGAAUACAACUACUAAUCAAACAAAUACCACUAUUUGUCUUUUUGUGUUUGUUUUUUAUCUUGAUUUUGCCAACUAACAAGUUCCGAAGAAAAGAUCUGGUCUUCCUGUGUGCUGUCCAUGUUUAGACGUAAUUGACAAGAAUUUUGAAAAGGUUGGAAGAUAAGAAAGAGUCCAAAUUGAGUUUCUCAAAAAAAAUUUUGAACCUACAAACUUUUUUAAAUAAAUUUAUUUAAGAAAAUCUCAUGAGAUCUUGAGGGUAAAAUUGUGAAUGGUUAUGCAUUAACCCCAAUUUAUUAAAAUGAAGUAGAAGAAGUUACAAGAAGAGGAGAGCGAGGAAAAACCUAGCACCCAUAAAAAUCAAUUACAAUAUUGAUAUCAAAAAAAAAAAAAAAACCGCCCUUUAUUAAAGGAGGUAUAUUAGAUUUUUGAACUACAAAUAUAUUGUGUCAAAUUACUCUCUCAUCAUACCCAUUAUUUCAUGGUUAAUUUGUUAUAGGAAUGUUGACAAUAUGGGAAAAUAAUGCUGAAUUUGAAAGUUUUGUUGACUUGCUACAUUAUUUCUUCUUUUCACAUCUGUUUUUUGAAGUGUCAAAAUGACUAUUAUGUAGACUUUAAAGAAGAGAGGACAAAAUGUUAAAAUUGAUAAGGGAAAAAGAAGUGUGAUUGUAAAGAGAAUAAUAAAAAUUUUGUAAUUAUGAUAAAAAUCGAGGAAAUAUGGUGAUUUAUUCAAAUUACGAUAAUGUAGUGGACCUGUAUUGAAAAAGUUCGGAAUUGAAUCAUGCACGCCUCGAAUCUUUGAAAUUGAAGGACUCUGUUAGUAUUCUUUCUUUUUGGUAGCAGCACAUAUCAGCGAUCCUCCAAUAAAAGUAGAAUUAUGAAGAUUGAAUAUGAUUUGAAUAACAAAUAUCACAAAUUUGCCCUAUUUAUCCAACGUGUGAUCAAUGUCACAUAUUUACAAGGUAACAAGUGUUUUUUUUUUUUUUGGCAUUUUAGAAACAUAAGGUUAAAUUGAUAAAGACUCAAAGAAGCGAGAGAAAUACAUGAGUGUUUUUGUUUAGAUAGUAAAUUAUGUUGGUACAUAUUAUAAAUUACCGAUUAUCGAUUGGACACCUAUAAAUUAAAAUCAUCUUAAAUAUGAAUGAUAUGAAUUAUAAUUACUCUUACACAUUUUUAAAUAUUCUGGUUAAUCUCUAAUAAAUGGCCUAUAUGAGAUCAUAUACGUCAUCCAACAAUCAUCAAUACCAUCAUUUUCACACUUUGGAAUAUGCUACUUAUACAUAUCCACGCCAGAAUAAUAGAACACCCGUAUGGGUUCUGAUGUAAGGUUUAUGUCCCUAUAACGUCAAUGGCUGUUCUUCCUCUGUACUACCUUAUUUGUGCUGUUUUUCCAUCUGUGAAUCAACUAAUCUGAUUAUUGAAAACGAAGUCAAUUGUAUGAGAAUCACGUAAAGAAUUUCAGCAAAAUUUUGUCAUACUUUCCAGCUUGCAAAAUGGGUCCUCGGAAUACAACAGUUUCCACUUGAAAAGAAAACAGAAAAGUUUUCUUGGUCUCAGAUAAGGAUCGAAAGGAAAAAAAGGUGCAGAUUAGUUUAGUGUCAUUAUCUCAUUUAUGGUAAUGUUUUGGAUUAACAGGGUUUGAUUCUUUUUGAAACCAAUUUUCAAGUUAAAAUUUUGCUUAAUAACUGAAUAAUUAGUAGCCUUAAGCUACUGCUACAGACUAAUUAUCAACUGAAAUUGUGCGCUUCAACUGUUUUUUUUUUUUUUUUUUUUUUGCUACAAGAAGAAAAUACAUGAUAGCCUUGCAUUUGGAAAUUCUAGGGUUAAUGUCCACAAUGUAUUAUUGUUAAAAAUGCAUUUAUUUCAGGGGUUAACAUUCCACUUGUUGAUUGUGGCAUAGAAAGGUAAAAACAAAAAAUGAAUAUAUUCAUACUUUUUUAGUAGCUAUCACAAAUCCUCUAGAGUACAAAUCACCAAUCCACUAUUUAUUCGGGUUAAUUUGCAAAGUGGAAUCGUCACCUAUUUAUCCUUAUUUUAUUUAACUGUGCUUGUAUGUAUCCGGCUUGUCUUUCUCCUGCAACAGAAAUGGAUCUUUGGCAGAAAUUAAAUGCAUGCGCACCUUCCAAGCAUCAACAUGGAAAAUGAGUCAUGCCAACUAUACCAUGUUGUCAUUGUUGAGUGUUAGAAUUUGGAGGCAUAUGUCAUUUUUUUUUUUUAUUGGAAACCGGAUCAAAUCAGAACUUUGGAAUCUCUUGUUUUUGGCAAAAAAAAAAAAAAAAUUGCAAUUUUAGUUCCCAAAGUUUGGAGAGGAGCUAUUCUAGUUCUCAAAGUUAUCAAAACUUACUCCACAUGAUGAUUCUCUACUUUUGACUUAGCAAAUAUAAUGAAAUUUACUCCUUUUCCAAAAUCAACCUACAUGAAGGAAUAACAUAAACUCUUACUCAUAGAGGGAUUUAUAAUUAUUCUUCUAUCUGUUAAUUAUAGAUCUAUUAUUUUUAGUGUAUGUUUAUCUCCUAUCAUUAGUGCAGAUUUUUAUAAUAUAUAAAAAAAAAAGAUCGUAUUGGACGAUUUCUAAUAAUUUUGUUAAUGAAAUUCACUUUUAUCCCAAAAAAAAAUUCUCAUUUUGAUUCUUAUUUAGAUUCCACAAUGAAAGGCAAAACAACUUCUGAAAUGACAUAAAUCAUACAUAAGCAUUGCGCUAUAAAUCACACCUAGGCAUUGCGUGUGCCAAAUUGGACCGACAAUGAAAUGAAAGCCGGCCGCCGACAUUAUUGGAAAUUUCUAAAGGAAGUGAAUUUGCAUGAUUCGUGCAUGCACCUCAUGCAACUUUUACGCUUUUUCCACUCUUCUUCCCCUCUUUCCUCUUUUCAGCCAUAUCUAAAUAGAGUAUUAUAUAUACAUAUUCAAUUAGAUCCAUCUUUCAAACAUAUCUAAAAUGAGGAUUAUAUGUUUGGAUCGAGUCUUUUACAAAAUAGUAUAAUUUAUGUGCUUUUAUACCAGUCUAGUAAUCACAAACUAUAUACAGAUUCAACUCCAUCUUAGAGAAAUUGCUAAUUUGACUAUUUAUAGUUGGACAAUCCAAUUUUUGGAGCAAACUUUUACAUUUUUUCAGUGAUCUCCUUUGAAAAUUUCCAUGUUACAUACAGAUCAGAAUAUAAAAAAGAAAAAAUGCAGCACUGAAUACCAAAAAAAUUUUUAAAAAAAAAUUCUAUUUGAGCUGAAAGAAAGUCAUAUGAAAAUAUAGAGAAAUUAAAAGACAACUACAUUUUUCAAUUGGAAAGUGGACUACAAUUUAGGACAGACGAAAAAAGAAAACAUGACUAUCAAAGUGGGACAGAGUGAGUAUUAUCUUGAGAUCAUUAAAUUCUACCUAGAAAAAUGGAAUGCUAUCAUAUUAAACCAAAACCAACGAUAGAUUAAUACAUAAGUUCCUGCGAAAGUUAAAUUUCAGUGAUUUACUCGUUUCGAGUAGCGAUUUUUUAAUUUGGCAUUAUUUUUUUGGUAAAUAAUACGGAUCAUUUAUUUUAAUAACAUUUAAGUUGUUAUUUCACCAAACUAUUGUGGAAUUUUUAAUAAACUUGGAAUGCUUGUCAGCCUAUCUAGUUGAAGUCCUUCUUUUUAAUUAAUAUAUAUUUAAAUCUGUAGUAAGACAAAUCCCUUCUUGUGUGCUCAUUUGUCGCCAUCAUACUGAUGGGAUAGUUGCAAUUGAAUUGCUAUAUUAAUUGGUCGUAUCACAGCCUGGAUUGUUGGUCAACCUCUGUAUCUGCCUUUAUUAUUGGUUCGUCUAUGUCUGCUUUCAAUAGCUGUCAUAUUUUCAAAUAACAAUAUAGAUUUUACGUAUUCAAUUAGAAUAGAUUUUCAGUUCUAGAGUUGAUUAAUGUUGUCUUUGGUCAAAAAAAGGAAAAUAAAAAUUCUGCAGUCAAUAGCCAUCAUAUUUUUUUUAAAAAUAAAAUUAUGCGUAUAAAAUUCAAUUAGUACAGAUUUGCUGCUCUUUAAGUUCUUGGAUGUUUAUGCCUCAUUCGUUUAGCUUCAAAUGCAUACGUUACUAAGUCCGAAUCAUUAGCCUCUCAUAUUUGUUUGGGUUAUUCUUAAAAAAUUUGGUGUGUGCUAUACAUUAGAAAUAAAUAGUCAACUUUGUCGCCAUGAACCAUGCGUUUUGUUUGGUUUUUUAUAAUCUUAUUUAGUUUAUCGUCUUACUUACUUGAUUAAAGAAAUGGAUAAUAAAGUAAUGAUUUAAUUAACAUUUUGAUUUACUUUGUAUUAGCUAUAAGUAUAGGUAAUAAGUGAUUUUCCCUUUAAUGUCACAUUAAACGCACUAGAUUACAAAUUCUUUGUAUCUUAAGUUUGAUUAGCAUAACAAAACCAAAAGAAGAGUGAUAAUUGUUAAUAUUCAUGUGCGAAAAUGAUUAGUAUAUUAUGUAUAUUUUUAUAUGGUCCAAAGAGGGAUUUCAAGUCUUAUAAAAGGGACAUAGGAAAGGGUUUCAAAUGCUAGCAAGACAUUUUAGUAAUAAAACUGGUUUAUUUUUUCAGUUAAAACAACCAAAAGUAAAGUUUGAGCCACUUGAAGUAAUGAAUGUUGAUAUUGUGCUAAUAAAUCUAAUGACUUUAAUAUAAAAAGAUUAUGAAACAUCUUUUUGACGUAAAGAUACAACAUUAGGCAAAUGAUUUUGAAACUUUAAUAAAUGUUUGAGGCAUUAGACAUUUAUUCUUUGUUAAAUAACUUGUGAGAAGAAGUAAAACAUUAUUUUUGUCUACAUGUUUCAUAGACUUGGGAGAAAAAAUCUUUGUAGAAGAUGAACUUGGUAAAUAGGAUAUGAUAUUUUUCAUGUAGAAAAUAAUAUUACGAUUCCAAACUAUCAAUAUUUUUACUUUACCAGCUCAAACUAUUAAUUUCAAGUGCACUGCUCAAGUUAAGCUAAUGUCAAACAAGAAUAGAUGUAAUAAAAGUUUUAACCCUCAUAGAGAACUCCUCAAAGUACCUAUAUAUGUUUUCCAUUCCCCAUAUUUCCCUCAAAGAGUUCUUUUUUUUUUUUGGUCUCACUCUUCUUGCUUCCAUCCUCCAAUGGCAAUCCAAUCUGGCCCCUCUUCUCCUGAUUUCUUUCUUCUUAUCCUCUUCUUGACUAACCUUAUCUCUUUUUUUUUUUUUUUUUUUUUUUUUUUAGCAAACCCCCACACACAUGUUGGAAAGGAACUCGAUUUUUUCCUGAGAACAUUGAAAAAAUCCAAAAUAGCAUUUGAACCCUUCUUAGGCCCUAUUUAGAAUUGUAGUGCUUUUGAUAAAAAAAAAAAGUACUUUUCGAUGUCAAAAGUACUUUUGAAAAAACACCAUCCCAUAAAAUUAAGAGUUGAACUUUUGAUGUUAAAAGCACUUUUAACAAAAACUCAAAUUUAGAACUUUUACAAUAGUUUUUGUGUUUUAAAAAAUAAAACAUUAAAUUUAAUCAUUUAUUAUUUUAAAGAAUGUGAUAGUUCAUAGUUCUCUCUACUUAAGUAAUAAAUCAUGCAAAUCUAGAUUCAUAUUAAGUUUCGUUGUUAACUUCCUUCUUUCCUUUUUUUUUUUUUUUUGUUUUGUUUUGUAAGGAUGUUCUUCUUUAGUAGUUGGUUUAAAGUGUUGAAAUUAUUUUUUUGAUAUAUGAUAUUGAACAUUAUUUUGCUACGAUGUGACAAAUUAAUGCUACAAUAUAGUAGCUUAUUGAAAAGGUCUGUUUGCAUGAAGUAACGAGUAGACUACUUGUUUGCUACCUUGUCAUUAAUUGUUCUAGAACUAUUCCCAAAUAUGUGUUUGAAGUAUAAUAUAGGAUAAGGUAAUCAUUCUUGAGACAUUGGUGGGUAAAAUAUGAGAAAAAUAAAGUAGAAUAUCUCUAAGUAAAGAUUCUCCACCUAUGAAGCUACAUUAUCAAUUACUACCUACUUACAGAACUACAAAAAAAAUAAUUGUUUAAACAAAUAUGUGUUCAAAGUAUAAUUAGGAUAGAGGUAAUAGUUAUACAAGCAAUAGUAGAUACAACAUGAGAGGGAAAAAACAUGAGAGAAAAAAAUUGAAGUAAAAUAUCUCUAUGUAAAGAGUCUCCACCUAAGUUCCAAAACAACUAAGUCAUGAUGUUCCCAUCUUUCAUGAAGUUGGAAAUGAUCUAGCACUUUAGAUUUGUAUAAAUAUUUUUGAGGAUAAAUCUCUGUGCCUAGCUACAUGAUUGGAUCUGGGUAUUGGUAAAAUAGAUUCUUCCAUCGUUUCAUUGCGCUUUAAAUGGCAGCUUGAUUCUGGGCUGGACGAUAGGCAAAUAUUAAACACAUUAAAAGGAAUGAUGACUAAAAUUCUAGUCUAAACUUGAAAUUAGGCAAAAGUCCAUUUGGAUUCACCAAUUUAGAAAGAAUUUUUUGUAUUACUUAACAAAUAUGUUUUCAAUCACAUCUUUAUUAUAUCAAUCAAUUUUAAUCUCACAUAAAAUAUAUCACAAAAACAAAAAUGAUAUAGUAUCAUUUUUAAACAAAUUUAUCCAAAUAAAUUUCAUUCCAAACGCAGCUUUUUUUUGGACAAGGGAACUGUAACCGCUACCCGAGAGUACGUACUGAAUAAACCCGUCCCGUACAAUAACCCACUAACCACACAGAGGGAUGAAACACACUAGGGAAGCCCUAUGCGACGUGCAGAUGUUUCAAGAGAAAUUCGAACUCAGGUUGAUAGAAAUGCAUAACAUCAAUUCUACUAUUUCAACCAACUCAAGGGACAAGAAUAGAUUAGUGUUGAUACUUAAGUUAACCACUGAUGUCAAUAACUUUUAAUUUAGACACAUAAAAUGGGAGAAAUCGCAUUUAUAACUUAAUUAGUGGAACACUAAUCGGUGUUUAUGAGAUUCUUAGUUGGACUCUCCCUUCCUCCUUAUAAUGCUUCAAGUCUCCCCUUCAAAAAAAAAAAAAAAAAAAGGGAGUAGAAUACUAAGCAUGCCUUUGAAUUUAGACCCCCUAAAGUGCACCUUUAAUUUGCAAGGUUUAAAAGUUCAAGUGGAGUCCAUGACUCAAUGCAUUAUAUAUCCACUCAAUGGCUUUUAUAUCUCCUCCACUUAAUAUUUGAGCAAAAGGCAAUACAUAACUUUUUUUGCACACUCAUCACAAAUGACAAAAACAAAAACGAACUGAAAGAAGAUAAGUGAUAGGUCGGCUCAAGAUCAUGUAUCUGGAUAUUCUCCAAUAUGCAGAAAAAGGACAUGAUUCUAAAAAGUGAGUUUCAAGAUUUUAGUGAGUCAACUUCUAGAAGCUUAGUGUUGAGGCUUAGAAUGUCAAAGUUGAGUUGACCUUGGAAAAGUAGUGCUUUGAGAGAAUUUUGUACACCAUCAUGGCACAAAUUUGGAUGAUGGGUUUCAUAGAUAGGGGCUGCUACUGUUUUGUCAAAAAGACAAAAAAAAAAAAAAAGAAGAAGAAGAAGAAGAAGAAAAUACUAUACGACAUGAAGAAAAUAAUCUCCAGAUCAAAAACUAAUGAAUCCGUCCAUUCAAUUCCCUUAUGGCACAAGAUAAUUAAGCUCUAAAUCAAUAUUAGAACAAAAAAAUGUUACACUUCUAUUGUUUAAUCGUCUGAGAUUUUAAUUAAGUUUUGAUUGUGCAAAGGGACACAAAUUAGGAAAUCCAUUUUUAUUAAGGGUAGAACUAUUAUUACUAAGCUUACUGAAAAUCGUCCAAGUCCAAAGAGAAUCGAUUAAAGUUCCUGAGAUAUUUUAUUCGAUUUCCUUCGAACCCAAUUAACUUCCGUAGCACCAGAAACUAUCAUAGCAACAACAGAAAAGUGCGCUUAAGUACCGCAACUUGUUUAAUUUUAGAUUGGCCUGUAUCUAGAAGAAAUUUAUGAGUUUUGGCAGAAAUGUCUUUUUAUGAAGGUAAAUGGAGGAGGUAUAAGAAUGCUACUGUGUUGUCUUAAAAAGGAGGAACACCCUUAUGAUGCUCUACUGGUAAAAUGAGCCCAUAAAUUGAAUCGUUUCCGGGGUUGGAAUAGCGUUAAUACAUGAGACAUUGUUUUGGUUUUAGACUUAGAGGUGUAUGAUAGGGAUAAAAAUGAGAAAAAGAACACAAAGGAAACUGAUUUCUCACACGUAUCUUUUUGUAGACUGCUGCACGGAGGAGAGGGCAAGUGUUCUGCUGCGACAACUGAAGUUUACAUGCAAAUUUAAAUGGUGAGACUGUUCUGCAUUUAGCCAGUAUUGGUAUGAGAUUAGCUAUUCAACUAUUAAGCAGCAUUUUCAUGUGAAAAAAAUGUCACUAUUAAGCAGCAUUACUUUCAAAAAGAAUGAAAUCUGCAUUGGUCCAAAACAUUGCCCUAAAAUAAAUGACAUGAAGACACUAGAUCAUAUUUGUUUUUUGUCCUUUUGCUUCAUGUAAAAUUAAUAUAAUAAACAAGAACAUUAAAAUAACUAAUUGGACAAAAUGCAAGAUACAGGACUGACUACGGGGGAACAAGUGGGGUGGGGGGAACCAAAACCUUUUAAUUGAUAAAAAAAAAAAGUAGUAGUGUUGAUGUUGCUGAUUAAGAAAAACAAAAAAAAAAAAAAUGAACAAAUGCUUUUAACUGAUCAAAAGGUUGUGGUGUGCAAUGCCUUAAUUAAAGGGACUCAAAUCACCUUACAAUCAAUCACACUUAAGGACUUAAGCCACCUUACGAUCAAUCAAAUAUUUAAGAUACUUAAAGGUAGAAUUAAAAUUUAAAGACAACGAAAUGAUGAAAAAAAAUUCAUUGAUUAGAAAUACCUGUCUUGAAGCUGUAUUCUUUUAAAGAAUCAACCACAAAUCUUUGUUUCACUCUUCAAUCGACUAUCUAUUGAAACGGGAAUUGAACCUAUACUAAAACUAUUUAAGCUUGAACAGAGAGCUUAAACUAUUAAAAACCUGAAACUAAUCAUGAAGAAAAAGGAAAUGGAACUGAUGUCCUGGCUGAUGUGUGUGUGUGUGUGUGUUUUUUUUUUUUUUUUGGAUAAAACAGAGGCCAAUGUUAUUAAUAAAUUUGGUGGAAAUCGUUUAGCACAUUUUGCUUACUAAGAUAACUGCAUUAAUGAUAGAAAAUACAUUGUACAUGUCACAAAUAUAUCUAAUCUAAAAACUCAUUAUAUUGUGAAUCACAAACCGUCAAAUCUGAUCAAUUGCACAAGCUGCACCAUAAAUAUCUGUGUAUGCCUAUUCCCUCAAAUCUAUUAUCCAACUGGUUCAAGUUCAAAACUGAUGUUAAGGUCUGACUAUCUAUUAAGAAAUUUCAAAUCUAACAUAUUGAUAUGAAAAAACUCUUAUUAGAUCUAAGAAAAAUAACAAAAAAUUAAAUAAAACUCCCUCUAAAAUAGCCUAGGAUAGAAGAAAAUUCUCACUAAUAAACACUAGGAGAGAAAAAAAAAACUCUCACUAGAAUACCCUAAAAGAAACUUUAUUAAAUGUAAAAUAAAAAUAUUAUAGGAAGAGAAAGGGGGAUCUUGACUGGAGACCAAGAUUUCCCUCCUUUUACGGUGGAAUAAGGGUGGCGAGAAAAUUGAGAGUAGAGAGAAAGCAAAAAGAGAACGGGUGGGCAGAGAGGGAGAAAGGUAAUAACUUUUGAAUUAAUUUCUUACACUGACAGUGUGCCUUUUGAAUUAAUCUUUCCUACAUUGACAAUAUACACUGUCAGCAUUGGAUGAAUGACAACAGUACAAAAUUUGAAUUUAAAAUUUAACUUUUACAUAUAUAUCAUAAAUCUAUCGGUGAUAGUGUAUACAUUGUCAAUGUAUACUCGUACGUUUUGGCUGAUGAGUUUGUGUCGCUUAAUCGCAUCCAUUGCUUUUAAUUACCAAUGAUCCUACCGAAGAUGACAAAAUUAAUUGUCAUUAUUGGAUUUUAAUUUUAGUAAAUUACUUUUAUAUGAAUUUAGGAUCCCUAAUUUGUAGCCUCAGCCUCAAUGAUGACCAAAUCACAGCCUAAUUUUUUUUUGCUGGUCGCCCUCUUUCUUAUUUCUUAUCAUGUCUUCUCUUCCCUUCUUGUCUAAUUUGCCACAACUUCAAAAAGGGCACAAGCUGUGGCGACUAGAAUAUUAGUUCCAAGCAAAAAGUGUCUCCAGAGUUAGGAUGCAAGUUGAAGAGAGGCAACUGUUCCGGGGCACACCUUCUUUUGUGAAAAAGCACAAAAUUUUCUUUUUGAAAAAUAACAAUCAAAGCAAAAAAAAUUCUUAAACAAUAUAUAACUGUUCAAGAAACGGUACAAUUUAGAAUUUCUUUUUCGUUCAAAUUUAUAUAAAAAAAAGCACAAUAAUUGAAUUGAAACAAUCACACGUCACAUAUUUUGUUUAUGAGCCCAUUUACAAAGAACGAUUUGAAAAACACGCAAAUAUGACUGAACGUAAUGAUAGAUAUAAAUAUGAGAACUCUAAAUAUACUAUAGUGCUUAGAAAAUGAAUUUCAAAAGAAGAUUAAACCUUCUUCUGCAAGCCUCACGUUUUUGCCUUUCUCUCAACAAAUUGCAAUCUUGCAACUUGCAGGGCAUAAUUGUAACACAAAAACAACUGUAGGACUAUAUGAGGAAAUAUACUAAAUCUGCGGGCGUUUAAUGCAAUUAAUUCUAAUUUAGAUCCUUGUAGAGUCCGUUGCCCUCCACUAAACAGAGCAAGUAAACCUAAGCCAAAUUUCGCCUUCACAACAACCACCACCCCACCAGCGCUGCCGCCGCUGCAGCAGCCGGAAGUAGAAAUUCAACAGAGACUUGUUUCAAAAUGGGGAGUAGGAAGCAGAAAAAUCAGAAGCAGCAGCUUUCAAAAACACCCACCAAAAAGCAUAAAAAUCAAAAGCCUUUGGGGCCUAAGAAAUCCGAAACUGGUAAUAGUAACACCAAUAGCAAAAGCACCAAGUUCAAGAGAAUCGGGAAGGGGGAGAAGAAGAAGAAGAAUCAGAGCAAGGAGUAUAAGGAGGAGAGGAAGAAGAACGAGAAGAAAGGAGUGGAAAGGGAAAACGACGCCGUACAAGUACAGCAGCCCACGCAGUCGCAGCAGCUGAGUUAUUUCCUCCACCAGUAUCAAUCAGCCAAUGGGAUUCAACUUUCCACUCUCGAACUCGAAUCUUUCAAAGGUCUUGCCUGGCCCCGUCUUGCUUAUUUAAUCUAAUUCUUUAGUUUAAUCUUUUCAUUUUUUUUUUGGAAUUUACAAGGGAAUCAUGAACAUGGUAACUGAAACAGUGAAGUGCAUUUCAAAGUUUUGCUUUUCUCAGUAUUUCUUUUUUUCUUGUGUCAAAUUUGCAAUUUUUUUGGCAGUUUUGUGAGUAUAAUAAUUUGACAUGGUUAUCUUUUGCACACCAUCCAAGGUGCAAUUCUUGUAUUACAAAACUGAUCCAGGGCUUUUGCAAUUGUCAGUUUUAAUUCAACCAUGAAAUGUAUGCAAUGUAUGCACAAACACAACAGAUGUAGAUACUAACACAUUAACAGACAAAAACACAACAAAUUUUAUCACUCGUUGAAAGUAGCAUUUGUUGUCAGUUUCAUUUUUUUUUAUUUGUUUGAAUUUACCUUGGAUUUGAGGAAGUUGGAAUAAUUGAUACUAUAGGAAUGUUGAGGUGUAGUUGAUAUUAUUAAAUUUCCGAACCUUGUGUUUUUUUCUUGUCAAAUGUGCUCUGUCUUGGUCAGUCCUACAUUUGCCUCGGUUGUCUUCGACAAUAGUCAUCGCGUGUUGCAUGCAAGACAUGCUAUUUCAGAUUAAAGGCAUUUGUACUCGUUUUUGUAAUCCUUAGGUGGUGGCAUGCAUGUUCGGUUUUUACUUUAAAAGAUGAAUCUGGGCUGCUUCUGCAAUUGCCAAUUUCAAUUGCACCAUACACGCACAAUAGAUGUUGACAUUGACAUAACAAACUUAGACACUAAGACGUUAACACUUAAAAACACAACAAAUUUUGUCAUUCAUUAUAGGUUGUGUUCUACAAUCAAUCCAACUCAUUCGAAUUUAAAUGGAACACAUCUGGACCAUCAACUGCUCCAUGGAAUAGCUCUGACAACUGUAUAGAACUCAAUCCUACAAAAUCCAGUACAAAUGCAUUUGACAUUAGCAUAAAAUUUUACCAUCAUGAGCUAAACGCACCGUUUUCCCUAGUUUGCUCUCCCUUUUUUUUGGGUUUUUGUUUGGUUCACUAUCAUAAGAUCUUUCCUCUUAUGAUACUGUUCUUUUAAAUUUUUUGUUUUGCGUCUUUAUUAUGAUUCUUCUCUUGAUUGAAUGUAUUCUCACAGUAGUUCUGUUGUUUGUUUUGGCAGCAGAUACAUGCAUGGUUGAGUUAAGUCAGAAUGCAGCACAAAAUAAUUUGGGAGAACACAUGAAAACAGCAUUUGGAUCCUCAUUCAAAGAAGUUCUUUGUGAGAAACAGCUUGGAGAAGGGAACGUUGAUCCUGGAAAUCCUGCACUUCUUGUAAUUUCUUUAUCAGCCCUAAGAUCAUUAGAACUUCUCAGGUUAAUGCCUAGAAAUCUAAAAACAUAUUGCUGUAGAAUUUCUGAGAUUCCACAUUCUGUAAUAAAAGAAUCAGUAGCUUCAUUUUUCUAAGCAAGGCCUAGCAAUUAUCAGAAUAAUGUGGUUUUGUCCUGUCUUCACAGGGAAUUGCGGCCUCUGACUAAAGAAUGCCAUGCUGUGAAGUUGUUCUCAAAGCAUAUGAAGAUAGAGGAGCAGGUACACUAGUUUUCCUUUCUUAGAACAGUUUUACUAGGUCUUGCUUUCAUUAGAAACUCUACAAAAGUUAAGGAAUAAGUAGAAAUCGAUUGAUGCCCUUGUAUUGGUGCUAUGAUUGUGAUUAUAAUCUUUAAUUUCUGUGUGCUUGGCUUCUAAGUAUUAUAAGUUGAAAAAGAUUAAAGUUACUGUUGAUAGAGAUAAUUGACACAUAAAGACAUGUCUAGAUUAGGGGAUGGAGAAAAUUAUUCACAUCUACUGUUCAAAUUGGUUUCAGGUUUGGAGCCAUCUUUUAUUGUCUGUCGACUCUUGCAACAGAUUAGAACCUUUCAAGUUUCAAAUAAUAGCUCGGGACUUUAGAUGAGAUCUGAGAUGCAAUUCUAGGCUUAGUCCUCACCAGUAUCAGUAAAGCAUGCACAUUUAUGAACCUGCUGCUGGCCACAAGUAACUCCCUUGUCUGACAAUUUAUCGGUCUUCAAUGACAAACUAGUAAGCCUAAUUUUCUGCUUAGCAUGAACCUGGAAUUAUCAGUUGAAAAAUCACUUGAAAUAGCAUAAAGGAAUAAGUUGUUCAAAAUCCAAUACUUUUAACUUCUGCAUUUUGGCUGUUCACAUAAUUUAACUUCAACCAGGUUUUUGACAAUACCUCGAAAAAUUACAAGGAAAACUUGGUCCUCAUUUUAACUCUGGGCAAUCAAUCACUUAAGGAUGAGGAUCGGGCUAGACUUAGGUAAAGCUAUGCAUUUUAUUUUGGUAAUAGAAAGAAGCAUCUGAGAAGAAAAAAAGCAAGUGGCAACAUUUAAAACAAAUUCCAAACAUAAGAUGUAGAAAUCAUAGAUUGAUAUUCUUCUUCUCAAAUUAAGUAGGUCUUGAUUUUCUGUCAUGGCUUUACGAAGACGGUCCUCUAUAUGCCUGACAAUCCCCUUGUAUGGUCUUGAUCAUUAGCUCUGCUUCUACAAGAAGAGCACUAACAUUUUGUUUUUGUUUUUUAUUUUUUCCUCUCUGUCACUGAUCAUUAACUUUUUUUCCCUGUUUGCACGGUUUUUUCCCCACUUAUAUACUUGGUUGUUCUUGUUACUCUCUCUCCCGGCAAGCAUCUUGUUUCACAUCCAUUGUAGUAAUGAGAGAUGUAACUGCAUGGUAGUAAUCCUGUUUUUUCAAAAUGUUCUCAUUCGGCAUCCUAUCUCUUUGAACCUAACUUAUCUAAAAGCCUUUCAGGCAUCCCACAUUUAAACAAAUUUAAAUGCUGUGUUGAUUUGCCUCUUUUGGUGAACUUUUAGCAGUUCGAGAGGAAUUGAUGCAAGUGUUUUUGUUUUCUAACUAAUGCUUAGCUUUGAUGAGCUUCUUAUUCAUUGAAUGGCUGAUUCAUAAAACUUUACUUGCUUUGGUUACAUGGGCUUUUUUUAAUAUUUUUUAAUAGUAAUCCAGAUGAUUAGUGCAUUUAUGUAACUAAGAAAUGGAGACAAAAAACCGGUGAAGCAGGCAGUGCUGAAAAUUACAUCUGUCUGUUAAACUUGACAAGAAGAAAUGGCAAUCUGUUCAUAUUUAUUUUUUUUGGAAACUGAAGUUAAUUUCCUAAGUGAUAUGCAGCUUUGCUGAGUUGUGUUCCUUAUGCCAUUUGGUCUGGCUGCUAGUUUGUACAUCACUACAGUGUGUCAAUGGAUGUGUUUUUUCUAUAGACAAGAUAAUUGGUAUGUUAUUCCUACUCAUAAAUAACUUUUCUUCUAAAACCAGCCUUUCUUUUUGUUUUUUGCCAAUCAUGCGUGUACCUGUGUCAACAAAUAUCUUUGCUAUGUAGACAACAAACUUGGAAUUUUCCUUUCCCAAACAUAAAUCAAUUUUUCUGAUAAAAAAGGCUGUCUUUUUUUUUGCCCAAUCAUGUACUUAUUUCAAUUUUUACUAGGUUAGAUAUUAACUGUCAAGAAAUUCAUCUGUUGGUAAAAAACCAUAGGAAAGUAAACAAGUGAAAGUAUAAGAUUACAGUGUGAGAAACUUGUUCUGCAUUUUUCUUUUUGUAUGACCUGAAAGAGUGUAAAGCAUAUUAUCCUUUUGAAGUCAUUCUCUUUUCUUCCUUACAGUGUUGACUUUAAUCCUGUCUUAGGUUCUAUGAAAAUCUCAAAAAGUUAAGGAAUUCCUGUAGUUACAAAACAAUAUUGUCCGUCUGCAGCAUAUGUAACGUUCUGGUGUAUGUGGCCAAGUCUUCUCCUUUCUUUUGGUCUUGAAGUUUGACAUUUUCUUUACAUGUGUGGUGACAGGUUUCUUUUCUAAAGAAUCGUGUCAAUGUUGCUUGUGGAACACCAAACAGGUAGGUGAAGCUUCUUUCUUGCAUAAGUUGCAUGUGGCUCUUUCUCACGCUGCUUAUGGUUGUUUGUUUUGGCAUAUGGUUUUGGAACUAGAUAUUGCUUUUGUUUGACUUAAUUUGGGUUGCCAAUUUAUUGUCUCCUCUGUCUGAUCAGUCUUCCAGGACUCAGAAAUCUUAUAGUUAGACGAUUUAUCCAUUUACUGGAAGGGUUUAUUGUAGUUAGAGAGAGAGGGAGAGAAGAGAGAGAACUGUCUUAGGAAAUGUUAUUUUCCUACCUUACUCUUUAGUUCACCCGUUGUAUAUCUUGAUUUGCUAAGCAUUUUGCAUUUGUUGUAGGAUAAAGAAGUUGAUUGACAUGGAAGCAUUGGGCUUGUCAAGAUUGGCAGUUAUUGUUCUUGACAUGCACACAGAUGUCAAGGGCUAUUCUUGUUCACACUUCCUCAAGUCAGGUUUGAUCCGUUUAGCUGAUAUUCCAUUAUGAUUACGCUUGUGAACCAUGUGAUAUUGAUAUCGGGUUUGCUGAAUUCCAAUAUCUGGAAUGCCAUGGUUGUCCUCAUGGUUGUCUCUCUCUUUCUUUGAUUUCCAUUUCCAUGGCUUCACCUUUACUUUGAAUAUUGUCUAAGCAUUGCACACGACACCUAUUUGCGUCAGACAGGGUCAAAUGGGGAAAUUUGUGUCAUACUGCUUUUCAUGCAACUCAAAAUUUUCAUCCCUUUUCCUUGAUUACGUAAUGCGUGCACAUUUUCUUUUCACUCGAAAGAUGGUUAAUUUUGUACCUGCAUGGAAAAUAUCAUUUGACAGAGAAGAGUUCUGGGACCUGUACAAGAGCUACAUUCAUCAACGACUGCUUGAAGGUGAUCUGCGAAUCUGUCUGUAUGGUCAAAUACCAGCUAUUCGAAGAGCUCCAACGGAAGCUAAAGAUAACUGAAGCGGCUUAUUCAUGCCCAAGAGUUAAGAAUAUUCUGUGUUGCUUGUACCAGUGCAGACCUUUUUUUUCAAAAAAAAAAUUUAGGGGAUACGAAGGAUAAUAUUAAAAAAACCUUAUUGUGGUAGCGAUGAAGUAAUAGUUGCAGGAAGCAAUAACACACAAAUUUUGGAUUGAUGUAACCCGAAGUUGCAAAUUAUGCACAACCUACACGUAUACUAAUCUAAGGCCAUGUAGUUCUGGUAGCUUUUAAUCUGGAUUAGAAUGGAGCUUCAAAAUUUUAUGCAAGGCUUUCUAGUGAUAACAGAGAUUGUGCACACUGGGGAGCUAUAUUUGAAAUCUCUAAAUCAGGUUAAGUAUCAAAGAUGUUAAUGAUAUGGAUUGAACAAAUGAUUUGAAAGGGAAACUAUAUCAAAACCUGCUUUGGACUGCCUUACCAUGGUGGUAAAUUCCAAAGCCUCAAAAACCUCAGAAAUUCCAGAGCAAGUGGUUUAUGGUGUUAAGAGUUAUAACUUGUAAGAUUGAAGAAAAUGCAAUUUGCUGCAUGGUCAAAAUCAGUUAAUCACUGGAAGACUUCAGCUCAAAUGAUUAUUUUUAUUUUUUUACUUGUGUCGCCUUCCUUUUUUUUUUUUUUUUUUUUUUGGGACAAUUGACAAUGUUGAUUAUUUAGGCUUAGAAUGAAGGUAGGAUGCAUCAUGGGUAGAAUGAUGAUUCAAGCAUGCAGCUGUACUGUAACACAAAUGUUUUUCGAGGAAUGCCCUCAUUGAUGUACAUUUAUUCAACAGAAGAAAAACUUAUUUGUAUAGGUUUAUACAUUGUAGAAUGUACGUGGAGAUGGAAUAUUGGUUUCCAUUCCACAAUUAAACUUAACCAUUAAAAUUUAAGUGAGGAUCCUUAACCGAUUAUUAGGAAUAAGGUACAGUACAAUCUCUCAUUUAUAAUCAGGCGUAGUUAAUGGUACAGUUUUAUCUCCUAAAUUACCACUAUAAAUGGAUAGAUAAUUAAUUUUCUGGAAGUGACAACCAUUUUAAUCGUCUACGUGUUGAACAUUUUUAGUAUUAAUCUAUAAUUCUGGAGUGAUUAAAAGUUUGAGAGAAAUCCCACUUUGUUUUAUUCAUUCCCCAAAUCCAAUAUACAAAUAGGAUUAAUCCAAUCCAAGUAAAGAUCAAUAAUCUUUCGGAUAAAUUACUUAUAACCCCCUAUGAUUUUACAUAAUGUUAGAUGAUCCCCCUAAACUUUUAAAUUAGUCACAUAACCCCCUUAUGAUUUUGUGCAAAGUGGAAAAUGGACAGACUACACAAUCAAUUACAGUGUUUCUAUCAAACAUGCUCUAAAAUCGGGUGUGAUAAAAUCUCAAUUUUCAUGUAACCCCUUAUGGUUUGUAUAAAUAUUCACUUUAUCUCGUGAUUUUGCAUUUAUCUAUAUAAUCCCCUUAUAUUUUUAUAUAAGGUAGCUAAGUUGUCGAUUAAUUUAACAUUUAAGUAAUGGCACUAUUGAUGUUUCAAUUAACAACGUUAUAUAAGUUAUUUUCUGUCGGAUUUCUACUUUAGAUAAAAUCAUAGGAGAAUGAAAUGGAUAUUUUGAAACACUAGGGGAUUAUGUGACAAUAGAUGAAAUCAUAGGAGGGUUAUAUGUAAUUUACCCUAAAUUUUUAGGUGUUUAAUGACUUUGUACUUUAAAGAAGCUACAUACAAAUUAAGAAAAUAGCUUCAACAUGUAAGUUAAAAGAUCUCAAGUGACCUUCACAACUUCUCAAACUUUGGCGAAGUUAGGAACAGAUUCCAACUCGUGAAAGUUGUCCUCGUGGAAAAGAAUAAAAAAACUGAAUUAUAGCUAAAAAAAGUAUUCAUUGCUGCAGGUGCCUAAUUUAGAGUAGGAUAUUUGUAUGAACAAUUUUGUGUUCUCUGCUCAAAAAAAUUGGUCUUCGUCAGUUAUCUUUUGCCUCAGAACCCUCUGUUUAGUGGGGAUUUAUUCGUAGUCUUUCAUCCUUAAAAGGGAUUUUUCGUACAUAAGCAUAGCCACAAAAGCUUCUUUCUCUUGUUCUUUAUUAGGGGUUUCAAUUUCUUGUUCUCUCCUUUUGGCAAUUCAAGCAUCAACAAACGCAAAUUUUAGUUGCUUAAAUAUGUUCUAAAGAGAAAAGUGCAAUUUCCAACAGAAUUUUACACACCUAGUGGCUGCUAUAUGACUGUUCUUAAUCAGUUUAGAUGCUAUAUGCCUUGAGAAAUGUGGAUUGUGCUAAAAAGGGGAAAGAAUAAAUAAAGAAAGGAGGUACAUUGAUAAAAGAACUUAUGGCUAUAUUACCCUUUUGACUAAAUGUGAUGAACUAUUUAUUGAAGAUAGAUGAUGUCAAGGCAAUCCCUAAGGAAAGGGCUGCCAUCCUAAUAAAACAACAAUCCAUAUUCGGAAAAUCAAAUAGCUGUUUGCAUCUCUAAUUCACAACUAUAUGGAAAUCAAUUAGCUAUUUUUUUUUACAAGAAAUAGAUGUAUGGCAAGUUUUAUGAGUGUAGUAAUUCAUAGUACAUACUACAAAUAAGUCCUCCUUAUGCGCCUAAUUUUAGGUGGUGCAAGUUCUUUGUUAUAUAUAGAUAACAUGCUAUUGAGCUCAGAGAUUGCAGCACCAUACUUCCAUAGACUAUAUCUUUACCAAGUCAUUGAUUUCAGUGCUCUGCCUAAAGGCUCUGCCGCAUGUUUAAUAUCUUUACCAAGGGACUCGGGGCACGGACGGUUGCAGGUGCAAUCGUCCCUGCCAAUUGUAGUCAUUAUCAACUGGUCGUAACUUUUUUUGUACAUCGUGUAACUUUUUUUUCACAAGAUGUAUUUUCACAACAGAUAGUGGUGGGCCCCACACUUGGCGCGGAAAUCGAGUUACAUGGUGUAAUCUCAGCCGCACAAAAUUUUGAGGGCCAAUCUUGGCCCUUAACCGUGCAGGGACGGUCAUACUGCCCCAAAUCCCUUUACCAAGUCAUUAAUUUGUUGACAAGAAACAAGGUUUUUUUUGCAAAAUUAGUUCAUUAGAUUUCUCCAAAUAAUUAGGGUACAAAGGUAAAUUUUCACAAUUUUUUGUCAGCAAUAGUCCCACCCCUAAGGGAGGUCAGUGCUAUUUCUUAAAUCAUAGGAGAGGUGAGUGCUAAUGUCAGAAACUCCAGAGGAGGUUUAUGCAAUUAUCCCUUUUCUAAAGUUAUAUAGCUAGGCUGGACAGUUAAGUACUGUGAAGUUACAGUCCCUAUUCAAAAUAACACAAAAAUCAAAAGGAACUUUGCAACUGCUAGUCUCAUUUUUAAAUAUGGAGAACUAAGGUUAAUAACCGGACCAAUUCACAUGAAAAUGCCAAUAACCAUUCCCUAUGCCUAGAAAAGUUAACCAAAAAUUAUAAGAGUAAAACAAUUAUUGAUAUUCACCAAAGAGAUGUUCUUGAAUUCAACCACAUUAACUUGAUACAUUUUUAUUUUAAAAACUUGGCAAAAGCAGAAAUAGAGGCAACAAUCCAACAUCAAACUUGGCAUCACAUACGAGCUAAUCACUAAAAAGAAGAAAAAGAAAAUGAAUGAAAGACACUAGCACCAUAACUGCUCCCCCCACACCUAAAUCCUACAUUGUCCUCAAUGGAGGUAAUAAAGUAAUUAAAGUGAAGAAAACAAUGAAACUUCCCUGUUGAACAGCUAAGGGAUAGGAGGAAACAGUGGAGGGAAGCCGAGUUCUGAGACAUUCUUGCCACUUGGCGGGUGAUGUUCGUCAUUCGCUCAUCUACGUGAUGAAUCUGAGCCCGCAAGUGGUGCGACUUAACAUCAGAGGCCAUCGGUGGGGGAGGCGCAGAAGAAGAGGGCUCGAGUCUUACCAUUUUCUCCAAAUGUCAUUUCAAUCAACAAGAGACAAAAAUUGCCCACAGAUAAUGUAAACAGUAAAUUCAAAGCAAUGACAAUUUAAUAGCCACCGGUGCCUCCCAAAUAUCAAUAGAGAGCGACACAACUUGCCCACCCAAAAUCUCUCUAAAUAUCUCCAAUUGCACAAGAACAACCCAGUCACACAUGCCCAGCAGUCAAUCAACUAUCCAACCAAGUAGAACUGACACAUGCAAGGGGAAAUAUUCCAACCAGUAUCAUUAGUGCAAAACAUAGUCCAAAAUCAAUGAAAUUGCUAUAGUAGAGUAGAGCAGUAGUAAAGCAAUAGCCCCAAGUAUUAAUCUAGUCACAAGAAAGAUUCUAAACCUCUAAAGAAGAGCAAUAGGCGACUAGAAUUCCAAUGAAUAGAGCAAGUAGAGGAACCGUAGGUGGGAACCCAGUCCACCGAAGUCAAUAAACAAACCCAGGAAACAAAUAAGUCCGCAAAUGAGUCAACAAAUUGCACAAAUGAUCAAACCAAAAUCACAGACACUGUUCCUCCAAAUCAGCAAUAUAAACCAACAUCCAAAAUGUCCUCAAAAACUCGAUUAAAAACUACUAAUGCCAAUAAGGAAUGCAGUUGCCGAAUUAAAUCAACCAAAAUUUCAACAAGCAAAACACUGGCCGAGAUUCUUCCCAAAAUAUCACAGACAAUUGUUAAAAUUCCAGCCCACCCAAGAACUUCAACAAUUGCACCCAAAAGCUCAACAAUUGCCCCCAGCAGUCAACAAGUCAACAAGUCAGGCAACAGUAGUGCAGUGAUUCGGCAAUAACGACUCAAUAUAUACCCUCAACUGGCAAUUAGGCAUCUACCCACAAAAGCAAGUGAAAUUAUCUCAACGACCUAAUGGUUCACCACACAGAAUUCACUUCCACCCAACGAAAUAGUUGAAGUCACUAAGAUGAACACGUUAGUUAACCGUCACAGAAAAUUCUAACAAGCAAACCAACUCCUAACAGGGCAAAUUAAGCAGCACAAGCUCCUGAUUCAAUAGGCAAUAUUAGAAAUAACUCAACCAGAAUCCCAAAAGAAACCUCAACGAACUUAGUAGUUGAAAGCAAUGGUCAGAAUAUUUCUCAGCAAUUCAAUUAGAUGCACCCAACUGGAGGAAGCAAUGUAAAUAGCAUAGAAACUUCCCAAUUUAACAAACAAGUGCAAUAUUUCAGCUUACCCAAAAUUUCAACAAAUGGCUCCAGUUGACCCGUCAAAAUCUUAAUUCAAAAUCAGCAAUUUCAAUGAAAACGGCUUAGAUAUUGGACACUACAAACGCAGCCAACCAGAUAGAGGUACCAAAUUAAGGUCCAGUUACUCCACCAGUACCACAGGUAUAGCAAAAUAGCACAAUAAUACGACGGAAAAUAGCACAAUUGCUAGCACUGGUGCACCGCACAGUUAAGGCAGAAAACCCAAUUGCCACUCCAAUCUACUGACAAACCCCCAAGUGAAUCCAAUACAUACCAAAAAUUGGGGAUUUAGUAGCAAAUACCUCUCCCAGUGGCCGAAUGAAGAAACUGGGGCGGUAGUGGCUAAGAAAAAGAGGCGCUGUGUAGGACGCGAGGGAAAGGCGGCGUCCGUGGGCUGGAGCUGCGAGGGAGAGCGACUACGCGUGGGCACGGGCGGCGGCGCGCGACUACAGCAGCGACGGCGUCGGCUUGGGCAAAGCGCGCGACAGUGAAGGAGAGCGGGUGGAGCGUGCGGUCGGAGCUGGGUGGCGUGCGGAGGGAUCACGGCUGAAAGAAGAGCUGCGGGGUGGCCUGCGCGUGGUUGGUGAGCGGCGGCGGCGCACGAGCUGGUCGUCGCUGGCGGAGGCGCGAGAUGGGUGCUGCCUCUGGUGCUGCUGGCGGUAGCUAGCGGUGGAGGCGUUGAGCAGCGGCGGCGGUAACGCUCCUCGUGCCCGCGAUGGAUCGAUGGCGAAGAGGAAGCUGGUGAGGGGAGAGCCGCGGCUAGGGUGGGUUGAGGGAGGAGGCGGCGGAGAAGAAAGAAGAAAGAAGAAGAAAGAAAGAAAAGAAAGAAUAGGGAAGAAAGAAAAAGAAAAUAGUAUUUGUGUGUUUUUUUUUCCUUUUCCAUUUUUUUUCUCUUUUUAGAAUUUUUUUUUUUUUACAGGAAGACUCUCCCCCCCCCCCUUUUUUUUAAAAUUACAAAAAAAAAAAUUUUUGAAAAUUUUAUAUAUAUAUAACUUUUUUUUUAUUGACAAAAUUUAUUUUUGAAAUUCAAAAGUAGAGAUUAACAGAAAAUCAAUAAUCGUUCUUGAGCUUUUUGAAUACUUACCUUUCCCGUGAACAUGACGCGGGCACGUCAUGAAGGCACGGAAUCUGGAGCUCUCCAUAUGAGAUGACGUGGGCACGUCAUGAGGGCAGGAACCCCUUCUGACGAUUCUGACCGUGAGCUCUCCAGACGUCAUGACGCGGGCGCGUCAUGACAGAAAGAUACCUACAAAUCAUCAAAAACGAAAAUUGAAACCCGAAAUCAGUCAAAUUCAAGGAAAACAUAUUUAAACUAUCACACAAAAUCAAAACAAACAAUUAAAAGAAAUAAUUGGGUUGCCUCCCAAUGAGCGCCUUUCUUUAAUGUCUUUGGCUAGACAUUAUCAUGUUUUGCUCAUGGAGGAUAAAAUCUUGUGGCUUGCUUCAAUGCUUCAUCUUCAAUGUGAUCCUGGUAACCCUCAUAGAUGGAGUAAUCUUUGAACACGCGAGCUACGGUCUUCCAUGGACUAGUUGAUAGCGCCAAAUAAUCAAGCAGUAAUCUAAAUUUUUCAUCCACUCCUCCAUCAAGAGCACUCAACGGUUCAAGAUAUUUGACCAUACCUACUCUUAACUUAUUUCUGCCAUGAGACUCAAAAAUUUCCGGUAUAACAAAAUCAAUCUCAUUAACAGAAAUCAUGGAGUAAGAGUUAAGAAAAUGCGAGUUAGGGAAUGGAGGUGGUGUCACCAUAUUUGAUGAUUCUUCACUGGAUUCUUUCACUUGAAUGGGUUGCGGUUGGUGGUUCCAUCUCUUCCUUUUCGACUUCUUUUUCAACUGCAUCUGUAGAUUUCUCAUUUUGACACUCUUGCAUCUCCUCAUCACUAGUCAAGCAAAUUGCACUCUCAUUUUCUUCUAGAUCAACAAUGGUUUUCGAGGGCAAUUCUUCCAUUCGAGAAGCCAAUCGAUUUAUUCUGGAUGUCAAUAGACAUAGUUGAUCUGCCAGAUAACUCAUUGCAUCCUUCAUCAUCUCAUUUCUCAUUUGUGUCUCCUGUUGGAAUUGGUAUGUAUUAGUAGCUAUUGGUUCAACUAUUUCUUCAAGAGACAUACUUGACAUAGAUGACGAUUCUUGAGACUCAUACUGCUGAAAAUUCAUUGGCCCCGUUGUAUAAAUAUAACCGGAGUUAUCCCACCAUUCUUGAUUAUACCCGUUUGGAUUAGGGUUAUACCACGUUUGAGACCAGGGUGAAAAAUCUCCAUAAUUAUUGAGUGGGACACUCAGAUUAUCUUGAUAUUCGGGGCACACACCGGUUGAAUGAUCCCUGGCAUAACAAAUUUUACAGGUUGCAGCAGCCAUUCUUUCUCUAAUAGAGUUUAGUGCCUCUGAGUAUGCAAACUUAGGAACAAAACAAAACUCAUCGUCUUCCCUGGAAACAAAAUCCAGUAUAUCACCAAAAUACGGAGUGUUAGAAGCCAUAAACUAUAUAAAAAAAAUAAGAGAAAAAAUAAAUAAAAAAAAACAAGAUGAACUCAAAAAGAAACAAAUUAAUCUGACACCAAUCCCCGGCAACGGCGCCAAAAAUUGACAGGGUGUCAGCCUGUGCAAUAAUAAAUACCUGCUCAAACUAAAAUUAAUUUCUGUAGAUAGUGGUAUGUAGGGUCGAAUCCACGGGGACUGGGAGUAAUGUUUCUUUUUAAAUUCACAGUGACAAGGGGGGUGUUUUUAUCUCAGGGGUGACAAUUUAAGCAAUCCAACUAAAAGUAAAAUAAUAAAAAUAAAAUAGCCAAUUAGAAAUUAAAAUAACAACUUACUAAAAUCAAAGGAUCUAGCCAAGGAAUAACUUCAGCAAUGGUUCACCUAAUUGAUCAUCGAUACAAAGCCAAUUACAAUUAUUUACCAAUAAAUAGGUUAUAACUGCCAAACAAGUGAUGACAGUCAACCCCUCCUUACUGUGUCGGUGAUUAAGGUACGCCCGUUAAUCACUGCUCUAAUUGAGAAAUAAUCCUAGGUACGCCCAUAGGAUUUAAUUUCCCAAUUGCCUUACGUAUUAGAGGAGCCCUAUUCUAACCAAAUAACGCACUACCAGGGUUAUUUCAGAUUAGCCCGCGUAUUCCCCUGACACAAGUCUAAUUAUGCCAGUUGUCACUAUUUCAAGGCAAUUAAACAAUUACGGAUUUAAUACCUCAAUUGACAAUAAAUUAUUAAAUUAACUAAUUAUCCGGAUCCAAGACAAUCAAUUAAUUAAACAAUCAUAAGCACUACAACCAGGGAAUAUGCAAAUACCAAUAAAUAAAAGAAAAAGAUAAAAUUAAAUCGAUCUCACAAUUUUUAGGCGACCCAAAGCAUCCGUUGUUUCUUGGCUAGAAAAAGGGAUUUAGUUCAUCCCCAACGAGGAACACUCACACGAAGCGGAGGGAACAAUUGCAGCCUUUGCCAUUGACCGGGAGAACUCAAUUCGCUUCAAUAAAGAAAAAGAAAGAACAAAGCUACAGCGAAUGAUUCAUGGUUUCUCAUGGUCUCUGACAUACGAGAAGAAAAUCACUAAGGAACGGAAAAAUGGAAAAAGUCUAAGUGAAAAGCUAAUCUAGAGCUACGAGAGAAAAGUCAAAAGCUAAAAAACAAGGUAGUGCUCAGUGUCUGCCAUAUAUCAAUCGUUCCUAUUCUAAUUGCUACUGUGCAGCGUCCGCCGCCCAGCCGAGAGAGAGAAAAGAAGACUUCGGCCUCCCCUUUUUAAUGCUGUCUUCAGCCCAAUUACCAAGAAGGGUCGCAGUUUAAUAUUUGAAAAAUGUCCCUAGAUGUCUGCUACUUGAACUCUUUCUUGAUAACUGUCAAAUUGACACUUGUUAUGGUAUUUUCGUUCUACACCCUGAAAUAAAUGCAAAUUGCCAAAAGUGAGUAAAAUCUAACAAUUAAUCCACAUCGGAUCAGGUAAUAGGGAAAAUUAAUUAUAAAAUAAACGAUAAAAUUGCAACCUAUCAGGAUGCUUGAAGCAAAAAAAAAAAAAAUUAAACUGAUUGCCUCGUGAUAAGAAGGUGGAAUUAUUGCAAAAACAGAGACCCCAUCGUGUGGGAAUGGAAUACAAUAAUAAUUCCCAAUAAUUCUAUGAAACCGGACCCACUACUUGUGAAACCGGAAUGCGUCUGCAAGUGGUUUUUUGAAAUAUAAAUGUAUAGUAGAUAAAUUUUCCAUUUGCAAUUAGUUCAAGAUAAAUUUGGAUUUUGGGUGAAGCCAAUUUAACCCAAUGCGUGCCUAGCUCCAAUUCCACCUAGUUGAAUAAUUGAUUAUCAUUGCCUGGGAUCCACCUUGAUGCCAAUUCCACCUAGUUGAAUGGUUGAUUAUCUCAAUACUCUCCUUCACUUUCUCACCAGAAACAAAUAAGAAAAGCAAAGAAUUGUAAUUUUCAGGAAAGAAAUACUUUGCUAGCUCUACAGUUAAUGAGAUUUGUUUCUCUCUUAAAAUUUGAGAGUGAAACUGACGAAAAUCCCUCCAAAAGAGAUCGAGAUGGCCUCCACUUGCAGCGUCGAUUGUGUCUUACUUGGUCUAGAGUCGAUCCUGAACAGAGGCCGGUAUGAUCCUUAUGAUGUUCGUGUUGCAAUCACACACAUGAAAUUUCUCAAAACAUUUGUUAUGUGUGCAAGCAAGUGGAGCCAAAGCAAUGAUUUGUACUUGCAAUCUGACAAUGUUGUGAAGAAGGUGAGUCUUCCAUCUUUCUUAUCUUGCAUCGAAGAUACCUUUCACAAAUAUGUGGAGGAUAUUCACUCUCUUUCCCAUGAUGAGAUAUAUGUAGUGUUACACGAAAUUGAGAAAGAGAUCAUAUCACUCAAGCAAGAAAUCAUCCAAAUUUACUUUGCUUUGGCAAGCAGCAGGUCAUUUCAAUCAAAUUCUUGUAUGACAGAUGAUGAACUGUUGGAAUUCAUAGACCUCAUCCUCCAAAAUCUAGCAGAUUUGACAAAUUACUGUAUGUAUUGGAAAAUUAAUGAAUAUGAUCCUUUGAGUGCUCAAGUCCAAGAUCUUGAAGCAAAGCUGACAUUCUUGAAAAGCUUCAUUCCCUUUGCCAAAAUGCGAGGAACCGCAGAUAUUCCUGCCUUGCUAUUGGCUCACUUUGAAGUGGUGGCUUUGACCGCAGCACGCCUCUCUUACAUGUGGUCCUUUUGGAAAAAUGCUGAGGAAAUGCACAAUCCUCAGUUCUACUACAGAAGUACUUGCAGCUUCAAACUCCUCAGCAUCAGAGCUGUUGAUUUUCAUGUCUACGAGAUUUAUAAGGAAGUACUUGCAGCUUCAGACUCCUCAGCAUCAUUACAUACAGCAGUGAUGGAUGAGCGGAUAUUGAACAACUUCAAUGAUUCUCUGAUAGGUCUUCUCUGGGAGUUGUUAUGCUGUAGCUCUAGCUUUGUGGAUUCUAUGAAAGAUGAAAUGCGAAUACUCUGUGCAGGACUGAGGUUUUUGAGAAGGAUUUUAAGGGAGCAUCAUGAGAUGAUGGAUGAACAAAAUGAAAAGAUUGGAGCUCUCCUUGGUGAGGCAGGCAUUAUAAUAUUCUCGCCCACUCUGAGCAGAGUGAUAGAAGGAGAAGUUAGCUUCUCAGGAUCCACCCAGGUUCUUGAUUUUUGUGAUAUGCUGGCCAAUACCAACAUCCAUAUCAAGAAUUUUAAGGAUCAGAUCAGUGGCUCAAGUACUAUAGAGAGUCUUCCUAAUUCCUCUUAUAGCUUAAGAGCACCAGAAGUUAGCCAGACUUCCAGCCGCAUGCUAUCAAAAGGUAAAAUGCCAAUAGACCAUGAAGUCAUGGUUGGUCUUGAUGAUGAGGCAGAAAAAGUAAUUGAACCACUUAUCAAGCAUUUUGAGGAUCAGCUCAGUGUCCCAAGUACUAUACAGAGUCUUCCUAAUUCCUCUCAUAGCUUAAGAGCACCAGAAGUUAGCCAGACUUCCAGCCGCAUGCUAUCAAAAGGUAAAAUGCCAAUAGACCAUGAAGUCAUGGUUGGUCUUGAUGAUGAGGCAGCAAAAGUAAUUGAACGACUUGUAAGCGGAUCAAAACAGGUGGAAAUUGUUCCCAUUGUGGGAAUGGCUGGGCUUGGUAAGACAACUUUAGCCAAAAAAGCUUACAAUGAUAGUUCAGUAACCUGUCACUUCCACAUUCGUCUUUGGUGCACUGUUUCUCAAGAAUUUAACAUGAAAAGCUUGUUAACACAAAUUUUGUGCUCGGAUGGAAAACACUCUAGGAUGGAUGAAGAGCUUAAAAACUUGAAUGAACAUGAAUUGCUUCACAAGCUCUAUCAAAGGCUAAAGACGAAGAGGUAUCUUGUUGUUUUUGAUGAUGUCUGGGACAUUAAGGUAUGGAAUGAGCUGAGAAUUUCAUUCCCAGAUGACAAAAACCAAAGUAGAAUCAUCUUUACGAGUCGAUCUUCUAAUGUAGCUUCACAGGUUCAACAUGGUGGAGAACCUCACUAUCUUCACCCACUCAGUAAGAAAGAAAGUUUCGAAUUGCUGCAGAAGAAGGUGUUUGGAGAAGAAGAAGAAUGUCCUCAAGCAUUGCAUGGAUUGGGAAUGGAGAUUGCUGAAAAGUGCUGGGGGUUGCCACUUGCACUUGUUGUUGUAGCUGGAGUCCUAGCAACUAUAGAGCAUGAUAUUUUGGUUUGGAAAAAGUUUGCUGAAAGUUUAACUUCAACCAUGGUGUCUGGUACAGACCAGUGGAACAAGUCCUUGGAGCUCAGUUAUGAGCAUCUACCAUAUCACUUGAAGGCAUGCUUGCUGUAUUUUGCUGCAUUUCGAGAAGAUGAAAAAAUUGGUGCCAAGAGUUUGAUGCGUCUAUGGAUUGCAGAAGGGUUUGUGGAAAUAAUUGAAGGAAAGAGAUCAGAGGAUACUGCAGAAGAAUAUUUGAUGGAUCUAAUUGGCCGAAACCUGGUCAUGGUAAGUAAAAGCAGAUCCAUUGGUGGAGUCAAAACUUGUUACAUUCACGAUUUGAUUUUUGAGUUCUGUAAGGGCGAGGCGAAAGAAAAGAAUUUCCUUCAGGUCCUGCGAGGAUAUGAUGAGCUUUCUACCUUUAAUGAGGAGAACCCACCUCGGUUGUCCAUUUGGUGCAGUGGAGAAGAUUUUAUGAAGUCAAGGCUAUUUUGUCCGCAUUUAGCCAGUCUGCUAUUCUUUGAUGCUACUCCAGGAUAUAAGAAGUUUGAGUUGCUUAAUAUCUCCUUCCUUUUUUGCAUCUACAAACAUCUUAACGUUCUGAAUUUAGAGGGCAUUGACCUAAUGUUGAAGGAGCUUCCAGCUGAAGUCGAAUCACUUAUUUGUUUGAGGUACUUAGCCCUUAGUGCUUGGAAAAUGCGAUUCAUUCCACCAUCUAUAGCCAAGCUCUCACAUUUGGAAACCUUCUGUCUAAAUUCUCACCAGAUGGUUUCAUUGCCAGAUAGCAUCUGGAACAUGAAGAAGUUGAGGCAUGUAGAUGCAUGGAGUGGGAUUGUUAUUUGUCUAUCUUCCAACGACAACGGUGUUGAAAACCUGUCCACUUUACCCAAUUUGGACACACUCUCUUGUUUGUAUCUUUGUGAAACGGGAGAGAGCCUUUAUGAAGAGGGAGAGAACAUAUUGAGAAGCAUUCCCAACGUUCGCCGACUUAAAAUUUCCGAUCGUCAGACUGGAAAUGGAGUGUUGAACAUGAGUCGACUAGAAUGCCUAGAAUCACUCACCUGGUUGGGCUAUUACUGCUCAAGUUCAUGGGAACAUGUUGAGCCUCCCUUUCCCAUGAAUUUGAAGAAGUUGAGUCUUCGCAAUCUGGGUCUUCCCUGUAGUAAAAUGUCAUUGAUUGAAGAACUACCCAAUCUUGAAGUCCUCAAAUUAAGAGACCGGGCAAUGGAGGGCCAAAGAUGGGAGCUGAUGGAAGGAGGAUUCCCUAAACUCAGGGUCUUGACGUUGGAAGAAGUAGAGGUUGUGGAGUGGAUUGACAGUGGUGAUGAUUACUUCCCGUGUCUUCAGCAAUUAAAACUCUUCGGAAUUUUUAAUUUGAAAAUGAUGCCUGCUUGUUUAGGGAGUAUAUCUACUCUUGAAACGAUUGAGAUGAAGGAUUGCAAAGAUGGCGUCAAAUCUUUAGUAAGGAAAAUUGAAGAAGAACAGAAAGAUUAUGGAAAUGAGAAUCUGAAGAUCAUUUAUGGAAAAUAUUGAAGGGUGGCUACAUCUUUUCCUAUCAAUUCCCCUUCUUUGGGUGGCUUAAUUGGAUUUCAUUAGUUGGCUAAAUUUUGGUUGUAAAAAAUUCUCAACUGCUAACCGCUUUAAUGUUCUUUGGUUUCCUCUUUUUCCCGUUGUCUGUUGGGUUCUAUGGUAUGAUAGGAAUAAAUUUUUGUUUGAUUGUAAGUAAUAAAGAUUUGCAAGUUUAUGUAACACAGAGAAACCCAAAAAAUCGUAAAUAUUGAUUCGAUCUGAACCGCAAAUUUAGGAUAUUCGAAUCGGUUUUAAUAUGCGUAGUUUGGGUAGCAGCAAAUCAGAUUAACAAAGAAGGACGUCCCGUCGCAAUUCAAAAACUUUGAAAAUCGCAGAUACCUGACCCAAUUCAUAUGUAAGGAUAAUUUUGUCCAUUAAAACUAAAAGUAAUAGAGGAAUAUAUAAUCAUCUUUCACCAAAUAUUUAUAUUUGAGAUGAUAUACUUGACUAUCUCAACAAUAUAAGUCUUAACUUGUUUAACUUGCUAAUUAUAUAGUAAUAUAUUUAGCUUUUGUUGCUGAGAAUAAGUGAUAUUUACAAACUUGUUUUUACUAUGAAUAUGCAAGUAUUGAUGGUUAUGUGAUAUUUCUUAACAAAUAAUGAAUUAUAUUUAAAUAAAGUCUUUUAGGUGUUUACUUAUUUUCUUAUUCUCAAUUAUGAAAAUAUGAUUUCUUUUUUAACUUUGGUACCGAGUCUAGUCAUUCGAGUACUCUAUGACCGUGGACACAGUUAUUAUUUAAUUUUUUGUCGAACCAAUAGAACUGGUUUGAGUUACGAAGAAGCGCAGAGCUUCCCCGUGGAGGCCAAUUGUGUAUUUUGUCCGCCCAAGUGGUACCAGGACUUCAACCCCAAGACCCUUAUACACAAGGACUAGGGUUCGAAUCCUGGGGAGGCCCCCCUCCAAGCACCCGAUGCUGGGGCGGACAAAAUACACAAUUGACCUCCACGGGGAAGCUCUGCGCUUCUUCAAGUUACAAAUCUGAAAGGACACCCAACCCGUGAAAUAUAAUCACGGACUGAUGCUGACUCCUCUUUACUCUUUGCUCAUGGCUUAAGGCCCUUGUUAGUAGUUAUAUAAACUCAAAUCAAAGAUUCCAUCAAACUAAAAUCUCUAUUGAAGUCAUUUUACUAUUUUCUUUUGAAAAUAAAAACUAGCUAUUGACUUUUGGAUUAUAAGAUUGAUUUUUGGAGCAUGCAUAUUGAACAACAAUGCUUGAAUUUUCAACAAAAAAGAAAAAAAAACAACGAAAUAAAGCUAACGUAGAUGACUAAUUAUAAAUUAUCAUUCUCUUUUUCCCUUUCACUUGAAAAUGAAAGAAACUAUUUUUGUGAUAACAAAAAUUUCUGUUCGACUUUAAUUUUUUCCUUCCUUUUUUUUUGGCCCCUUAUAUGGUCUUUUUCUCUUGAAAAUUCCAAGAAAGUCUUACCUUAUGGAAAGCGAAAAUCUUUUAAUUUUUUUUUUUUAAAAAAAGGGGUCUAGGUGUAGGGUCCCUUUCUUAGUGGACAAUGCCGAAACUGGUGCUUUUUACCUACGAAAUGAGAGUGAAAUAAUUCAUUCAAAAACCAUAAAGUAAUGAGUUAAAAAAUUCUUUGCUUUUUCUCGUGAUUCCAGCACUGCCACCACUAUGAUUGUUUGUUGAAUAAUUGAAUAUUCCACAAGAAAAAUACUGGCUAGGCGAGAUUUGUUAAUAUUUCUCCUUAUGCUACACUAAAAAUUUGAGAGUGAAAUUGAGGAAGUGCCUUGCAUUAUAAGAGCUGGAGAUGACCUCCACUUGCAUAGAACCGAUCUAAUUGAGCUCAUCUAUAAGUGGAUAUUAAUUAUAAUAUUUUCCUUGAAGCAAUUUAAAAUAGAUGAUCAGUCUUAACGUUAAAAAGUAUGUCUACAUAUCAUAAGGUUUAGGAGUAUUUUUUUUAAUCAAACUACUUGAUUUGAUACUUUGAUUAAACAACUUGAGCUCAGUCAGCCAAUAUUGAGACAGGAAAUGGGGCAGGGACGGUCAUCAAUAUGAACAUCCCUGAGCAGUUAAGGGCCAUGAUUUGGCCAAAAAAUUUUGUGCGGUCCAGAUAACAAGUUGUGCAUCGAUUUUCACACCAUGUGUGGAAUCCGCAAAAUUUUGUACUAAAGUUACACGCUGUACAAACAAAGUUAUGCGCUGUUGAAAAUAGCCAAAACCGUUGGGGACGGUUGCAACCGUCUGUGCCCCUUGUCUAUUGAGACAGUUUCGCUGCUAAAAUGCUGGUUUCCGAGAGAUUCGUUUGCAGUCUUACCUAAAAGAUAAAUACAACAGUAUAAAUACCUUAUUAAUUCAUUAGUUGUGUAUAAUAUUAUUAAAUUUAACCACAAGAGAAUAUGAAAAUGUUCUUGCGACAUAUAUCAAUUAGCCCAAAAUUGUUCAGGUCCCCGAAAAUCUGAAUAUAGUUGCUCACGCAUAUUAAAAAUGGAGCAGGUUAGAAUCACAAGGCUACAGAUCGGCUACACAUUGUGGAUGAAAUCUUCUCCCAUCUAAAACAUUGCCCCUUAAAAGGCUAGAGCUUGAAUUAAGGAACGGGAAAAGGGACCGUCCAGUGGCCAUUCUUUACCAGAACACUAUCCGGUCUCCGUCAAUCUAUCGAAUUCUGCACAUGAAUGUGGAAGAAAGACUAAUGUUAAGAGUUGAAUUGAUUUUCAAUAGCUGUAACAGUGUAUUAUUGUAUUAGCAUGCAUUUCGGUUCUGACACUAAGUGCGUUUGAUAAAAUUGAAAUAUAAAAUCUAAAUUUAUUAAAUUAUUAAGUAUUAAAUUUGAUAUAUUUGAAUGUAUAUCAUAUUAAGUAAUAAAUAAAUAAUUUAUUACUUAUUUUUUAUAAUAUAUUUGCCAAUAAAAUUUAGUACUAUUUAAUUAAUUCAGAUGUUUAAUUUUUGAUUAUCAAAUAUGUUUGAAUAUGUUAAAAUCUGAAUCUAUUAAAUUUAAGUAUUAAAUUGAAUUAUUAAACAGGACCAAAAUCUCAAUCAACUCGUGGAAGUUUUCAACGUAAAUAAUAAGAAUUGAUAUCAAACAUUUAAAAAUAUGGGUAUGCCUUAGCCAUGAACCCCUGUGUUAAAAAGCAAGGAAAGGGAGGGUUCUCUAGCCGUGCUUGACCCGAAGAACAGCCAGUCCCCUUCUCUCAUUUUCCAAUGGACACCCUCAAUGUUGAAGAAAGAGUAAUGAGAAGACUUUCAAUUAAUUUCCAAUGACUCAAGUAACACUAAAAUGGGCAAAUACUUGUGUCUGGAUAGGAGAUUAUUUCGGAUGAUUUUUUUUUAAUAUUGUAUCAGUUUUUUAUAUAAUAUAUAUGAGAUAAAAAGAUAAUUAAAAAAUAUAUUUAUGAUACAAGUAAAUAAAUUAGUAUAAAUAAUUAGCGCGCAAUUAAGUCCUGACUCUUGAAAAGAAGUACUGCUGCUAAUUAGUAGAGUUCUUUACUUCUUUAAGCCAAUCAUUUUCUUUGACCAUUGUAUAUUGGUAACAUUAAUGCACUCAUUAAUUUUGAACGUUAUCAUUUUACUCUUUAUAGUUAUUAUCUUAGUGUUUAUAUUUAUUAUGAUUAGGACUGUCAAUGGGGUCAGGCCACCUGACCUCGGCUGGUUCGGCCCAAAAAAAAUCCGAUGAACUCGACCUUUCACUGAGCCGAUUUGAGUUUGACCCUAAAAAUUGCACUCGAAUUAAAUAUGAGCCGAGUUUAGACCUCAUUAGGCUCAAAUCCAAUAUAGGUCCAACCCUUAAAUUAGCUAUAUAUAUAAUAUAAUUAUAUAUCCAAAAAUAUUAUUACUAAAUAUUAAAUAUAUACAAAUUACAAAACACAAAAAUACAUUUGAAGACUUCUCUACUAACUUUCUUGAGAGCCGAUAUUGAUAUUGCGUGACUAAAAGUCUAACUUUUCUUAUUGGUUGAAUAAAUUUUUUGGUUGAUUUAUUUUUGGUCUAGUAACAUAAAUCAUCAAGCAUGUUUGGAUUUAAGUUACAAAGGUACGAAGAAGUUCCAACUUUUGAAAAUGUAUUAGCUUAUGACCGCAUAAUUUAUUACUAUUUUUCAUAUACUUUGAACGAAUUAGAUAUAAAUAUUGUUCAAAAAUUCUUGAUUUAUGUACUUUUUAAGAACUAUUACUUGUUUAUGUUUAGUUUUAAUGUUAUAGUCCUGUGAAUAUUAAAUUAGUUUUACAACUCAAUAGUUUUGGUAAUCUAUAUCUAUAUAAUCUAUAUUUAUUCCAAAUAAUAUUUCAAAUAAUACUCUAUUCAUAUUUCAAACAUGGAUGAAUUAAAAUACUCAACCCUUACUCCACAUCUGCUAUCAAAACAAGGCUUCUUAAUUACGAAGUUUAACAAAUUAAACUGUGGAUAGUCGAUUUUUUCCUACUCACUGAUUGCCUCGUGACAAGAAGUGGAAUUAUUGCAAAAACAGGGGCUUACAAUAAUUGGAGAAGGGGCAGGAACGGUUACCGUUAUCCUAGGUUCAUGGUUAAGAUUUGAUAAAAAAAAAAAUAUAUGAUUCAAAUUGUAUCUUAUAUAUUAUUUUUCACACCAUAUGUAAGACUUAUAAAAUUUUAUCUUGUAAUGAUAUGUUAUUGAAAAUAAGUUACACCGUGUUCAUAUAUAGUCACACGUUAUGCAUUUUACACAAAACCUUCACGCCCUGCCCUCUGUCCGCAAUAAUUCUGGUCUGUGGAGCCGGGACCCCAUUGCGUGGAAAUGGAAUACAAUAAUUCCCAAUAAUUCUAUGAAACCGGCCCACCACUCAUCAAAGGUUCAGAUGCACUGAGCCCACCACUCGCAUAUGUCUGCUAAUACAACUUAUAUAUUCCACUUUAUAUUCCUCUCUAUUAUACGUUUAUAAUAGAGAGGGACUGAUCCGUCUGGACCAUUCUUGGUAGGGAUUAAUCCUACCUUUAAUUUAGUUAUUCUACAUGCUUUGGACCGUAAAAUCAUCGAAGUGUCUCAAAUCCCCUAAGCUACAGUUAUUGUGAAUGAAAGUCGACUAAAACAAAGGCUUUUCCUCGUACGAACGAAUAAUUUAUCUUCUGUUAAUGAGAAGCUAGCAUACAGCUCCUGUGUGUUUAGUUUAAUUUAUAAGUGUGUGUGUAUUAAUUUCCGAUUGUGGAAAAAGAGAAGCUAGCAUACAGCUCCAUGUUAUUCCUAAACUUGCACGAAUAGUGUGUGAAACCAUACUACUAUUUUGAAAGAAUUAGAGUGCAAAACGGUAGAAUUAACUACUUUGUUUUGGCAGUUCAAGCUUUCAAGGCCUGGCUCAGUUGUACUUAUUUAUAUUCAACUGAAAGAAUCCAUUAAACUAAAACCUCUAAUGUCAUUUUACUUUUUCCAAAGCAACAAAAAUGAAAAUUGUUAUUUCAUAGAAUUUAUGUAUGUAAUAAUAGGAUGUGGCUAUAUGGAGUAAAAAUGCUUAAAUUUUUCAAAGAAACAAUCAAUUUAUAAAGAUUAGGGUAAAACAAGUCUGAAUUGAGCAAUUGGUUAAAUUUUUACGCUUUUUCAGUGUGGGUGCAGGGACCUUUGCUAAUGGAAAAUACCAGAGUGGUCCUUCUCAACUCCAAUAUGAGUAUGAAAUAGUCCAAAAAUAAUAAACUUGUCAAUGAAAACAUCUUUAAUCUACUAAACACAAGAUGACUUUAUGAUAAUUCCAACAUUUUCUCUUUUGCCUUGCUGAUCUUUUGUUUCUUACUCUGUUUGUUUGUUAAACAAUUGAGUAUCUAAUUUCUUUUCUUCACUACCCUACAAAAAAAUAAUAAUAUAAAAUAAAAUGAAAGAAGAGUAAAUUUGAUGGAAGAAAGACUUGUUGGCCCUGGGGUGAGAUUUGUUUCUCCUUUACCUGUACUAAUAUUUGAGAGUGACAUUGAGGAAAAUCCCUGCAUAAGAGUAGACAAGUAUUUGAGGCUGAGAUCCUUCGAAUUUUUUUCAGAGUACAAAAUUAAUGUGUUUGUAAUACAACAUUGGUUAUCGAAAUGACCCCAAUAGAAAAUGUUUCAAGAAUGCAUUUUUUCUGUGAAAAGAAGUACUACUACUGAUUAGUAGAAAUUUUCACUUCUUUAAUCCAAUCAUCUUCUUUGACCGUUGUACGUAACAUUAAUGCACUCCGGUAACAUUAUUAAUUUUGCAAGUUAUCAUUUUACUGUUUAUAUUUAUUAUUUUAGAGUUUUACAUUUAUUAUUUUAAUGCAUAUCCUUAUACUAUAUAAGAAUGACUGUAGGGCAAAGAUUUCAACCGCAAGGAUAGGGCUAUUUUGGGAAUAUGAGAGUAUUUGAAGUGUAAUUUGAGUAUUGAAUAUGAAUCAUUAUAACUGAUUUGGUUUUUUUUAUAAUUACUUAAAUGUUCUUUCAGACAUUUAAAGCUAUGGAUAAGUUUAACAUGUGACAAUAUUCGAUAUCCAAUUAAAUAUUCUGUACAAUUGAAUUCAGCUUGUGUUUUAGUGGAAUUAUAUAAAAAUCCUUUUAAUCAUUUAAUUGUAUUAACAUCUAAGUCUCUUAAUUUCUUAAAGCCUUUCUCAACAGUUAUUUGCAAACUUAUGAUAUAUAGAUGUUAAGGCACAAUUAAUGCUGAUUAGUAGAGAAGUUUGGUUUCUUGGCCGUUACCAUAGUAACCCCUAUCUAUUCAAAUUAAUUUCAUUUACCUAUAACUUUGUUCCACUACAAUCAUGUAGUAUAUUAAAUUCAGAUGUUGCUAUAUUAGCUACUACUCUUUCCCAUUUUGCAACAUCUUUCUCAAUAGGUUUGUUUUCUUUAGCUAAUCUACUUUUUUGGUUGUAAGAAAUUUGUAAUCUUGCAAGUUGUAUGUGCAAUACUUUUUUUAGUGUUUUAAUUCAAUUGCCCAUGUUAGAUAGACUUGAUAGGGAGGAGAUCACAUUUGUUAAUUGUUAUUUGUGGUUUAGAAUAAGUUUGUCAUCAUAAAUUUUUUCAUUAAUAGAUUGCAUCUACUUCUUUUGUUGUUUUAACUAUUAGUUACGGUAAUUUUCAAAUCAUUUGCUACUUUUUUGAUGAUUCCAUUUAGGCAAUUUUUCACUUCAUUUGAUUUGCCAAUAUGUUUAACUAUCUACUUAAAACUAUUUGGCUGCAAAUCUAAAGUAUGUACUUCAUUACUUUUAAUUGUUUUCUUAAAUUGAGUGGAUUAAGAUGUUUUAGUACUUUUUUUGAGGUAAUUAUUCAUCUAGAUUAGCGUGUUAGUUAUUGUAUAUCUUUGCAACUAGAUAAAAAACUGAUGUUUUGUGAUUGUAACCCCUAUCGAGAAGGAGGUGCUUUGCUAUAUGUCCUAAAUUAUAUAAUAAAUCAUAAUUGAUUGAUUUGUCAAUGUGAAACUUUCAUGAUGAUAUGUUCUUGGAAUCAAUAUAAAUCAAAGAAUUUGGCUUGUAAGAACCGAAAUUUCACUAGCAAUGAUUUCUUCAAGUAUGCUAAUUUUUCAAAUCUCACUUAUAUGAUAAGAUAAUGAGAUAGAUUGCCCUCAUAUCAAGAUCAAAUUCAAACUAAACGACAAAAUUUAACAUUCCCAAAAUGCAUGAGCAGAUAUAAGUAGAUCUUUUAUUCUAUUAGAUUAGACACAAAGUAAUUAAUCAUAUUUUAUAAUUAUAUUUUAUUGCAUAUUAUAUAUUUUGACUCAAUAUGUAAUUUAUGAUUUUUCUGUUUAAUAUCACAUAAUAAAAUUGUCAUACUUCAAUUCUUAUACUACAAAAUACUAAAUAAUAAUUAUUAACUAUCUUUACUUAUAGGUACUAAACUCCCGUGCAUGGCGCCGGCUUUUUCCACUAGUAUUUUAUGAUAUAAUUGACACUAGUAAUUGCAGACAUCCCCAAUUCUUUGCUUCCACAAUACCAAGGGUUGAAGAAGCCCUCAAUUUUUUUUUUCUCAUACUUUUUACUUUGUUGGCCAUGGUUAUUAAUCUCCAAGAUCAAUGGUCAUGAUUAUUAAAACGAGAUAAUUAGAAGAGAAAGUGAUCAAAUUUAGUGGUUUGCUGAAGAAAGAAAACAAUGGAAGAAAAUUAGAGAGCUAGCUUGAAGGUUCAUUAUAUUUUGAUCAUUUAUAUUGUGACGUGUCUUGGAUCAUUUAUAUUUUGAUGUCUCUUUGUUUUCUGUUCUUCCUAAUUAUAAAGUUUAACAUAUUAAACUGUGGAUGCUUGAAGCAAAAAAAAAAAACAUAUUAAAACAGGGACGCGCUAUAAGAGAAGGGGCGCCAUUGUGUGGGAAUGGAAUACAAUCAUUCCCAAUAAUUCUUUGAAAUCGGACCCACUACUUUAUUGAGGCAAUAAUUAGAUGUAUAAUAGAGAGGGGGCUGCUCCGUCUGGACCACUCUUGCUUUGGACAAUAAAAUCAUCAAAGAGUCUUAAAUCACUGCUGUUAUUGUCUUAAAACAUAGGCUUUUAUGUGAUCCCUAAUAUCAAAUUUCCCUAAUAAAAUGUUGAUGACAGAGUAAACUAAUCUUGUUUAUCAAUUUCCUCCAUUUGUAAUUAGUUCAAGAUAAAUUUGGAUUUUGGGUGCCUAGCUCCAAUUCCACCUAGUUGAAUAAUUGAUUAUCAUUGCCUGGGGUCCACCUUGAUGCCAAUUCCACCUAGUUGAAUGGUUGGUUGUCUCAAUACUCUUCUUCACCUUCUCACCAGAAACAAAUAAGCAAUUUUCAGGAAAGAAAUACUUUGCUAGCUCUGCAGUUAGUGAGAUUUGUUUCUCUCUUAGAAUUUGAGAGUGAAACUGACGAAAAUCCCUCCAAAAGAGAUGGAGAUGGCCUCCACUUGCAGCAUCGAUCGUGUCUUACUUGAUCUAGAGUCGCUCCGGAACAGCUCCGGAAUAUCCCUUUAUCUUCUUUACGAUGUUCGUGAAGCAAUCAAACACAUGAAAUUUCUCCAAACAUUUCUUAUGUGUGCUAGAAAGUGGAGCCAAAGCAAUGAUUUGUACUUGCAAUCUGACAAUGUUGUGAAGAGGGUAAGUCUUCCAUCUUUCCUAUCUUGUAUCGAAGAUACCUUUCACAAAUAUGAGGAGGAUAUUCACUCUCUUUCCCGUGAUAAGAUAUAUGUAGUGUUCCGCGAAAUUAGGAAACAGAUCAUAUUAUUCAAGCAAGAAAUCAUCCAAAUUUACUUUGCUUUGGCAACUUUGGCAAGCAACAGGUCAUUUCAAUCAAAUUCUUGUAUGACAGAUGAUGAACUGUUGGAAUUCAUAGACCUCAUCCUGCAAAAUCUAGCAGAUUUGACAAAUGACGAUUUGAAUUGGAAAAUUACUAAAUCGUCCAUUUAUGCUGCUUUGAGUGCUCAAGUCCAAGAUCUUGAAGCAAAGCUGACAUUCUUGAAAAGCUCCAUUCCCUUUGCCAAAAUGCGAGGAACCGCAGAUAUUCCUGCCUUGCUAUUGGCUCACUUUGAAGUGGUGGCUUUGACCGCAGCACGCCUCUCUUACAUGUGUUCUUUUUGGGAUGAUGAUGACGAAAAUAAAAAUCCUGGGUUCUACUCCAGAAGAACUUGCAGCUUCAAACUCCUCAGCAUGAGAGCGGUUGAUUUUCAUGUCUACGAGAUUUAUAAGGAAGUACUUGCAGCUUCAAACUCCUCAGCAUCAUUACAUACAGCAGUGAUGGAUGAGCGGAUAUUGAACAACUUCAACGAUUCUCUGAUAGGACGUCUCUGGGAGUUGUUAUGCUGCAGCUCUAGCUUUGUGGAUUCUAUGAAAGAUGAAAUGCAAACACUCUAUGCAGAACUGAGGUUUUUGAGAAGCAUUUUAAGGGAGCAUCAUGCGAUGAUGGAUGAACAAAAUGAAAAAAUUGGAGCUCUCCUUGGUGAGGCAGGCAUUAUAAUAUUCUCGCCCACUCUGAGCAGAGUGAUAGAAGGAGAAGUUAGCUUCUCAGGAUCCACCCAGGUUCUUGAUUUUUGUGAUCUGCUGGCCAAUAUCAAGCAUUUUAAGGAUCAGAUCAGUGGCUCAAGUACUAUAGAGAGUCUUCCUAAUUCCUCUCAUAGCUUAAGAGCACCAGAAGUUAGCCAGACUUCCAGCCGCAUGCUAUCAAAAGGUAAAAUGCCAAUGGACCAUGAAGUCAUGGUUGGUCUUGAUGAUAAGGGAGAACAAGGAAUUGAACCACUUAUCAAGCAUUUUGAGGAUCAGCUCAGUGUCUCAAGUACUAUACAGAGUCUUCCUAAUUCCUCUCAUAGCUUAAGAGCACCAGAAGUUAGCCAGACUUCCAGCCGCAUGCUAUCAAAAGGUAAAAUGCCAAUAGCUCGUGAAAUCAUGGUUGGUCUUGAUGAUGAGGCAGCAAAAGUAAUUGAACGACUUAUAUGGGGAUAUAUGGGGAUCAGAACAGGUGGAAAUUGUUCCCAUUGUGGGAAUGGCUGGGCUUGGUAAGACAACUUUAGCCAAAAAAGUUUACAAUAAUAUUUCAGUAACCUGUCACUUCCACAUUCGUCUUUGGUGCACUGUUUCUCAAGAAUUUAACAUGAAAAGCUUGUUAAUACAAAUUUUGUGCUCUAAUGGAAAACAGUCGAGGAUGGAUGAAGAGCUUAAAAAAUUGAAUGAACAUGCGUUGCUUGAAAAGCUCCGUCAAAGGCUAUUGAAGAAUCGGUAUCUUCUUGUUUUUGAUGAUGUCUGGGACAUUGAGGUAUGGAAUGAGCUGAGAACUGCAUUCCCCAAUGACAAGAAUGGAAGUAGAAUCAUCUUUACGAGUCGAUUUUCUAAUGUAGCUUCAGAUUCAAAGGUUCAAUAUGGUGGAGAACCUCACUAUCUUCACCCACUCAGUGAGAAAGAAAGUUUCGAAUUGCUGCAGAAGAAGGUGUUUGGAGAAGAAGAAGAAUGUCCUCAAGCAUUGCAUGAAUUGGGAAUGGAGAUUGCCAAAAAGUGCAGGGGAUUGCCACUUGCACUUGUUGUUGUAGCUGGAGUCCUGGCAACUAUAGAGCAUGAUAUUUGUGUUUGGGAAGAAUUUGCUGAAAGUUUUACUUUGACCAUGGUGUCUGGUGCAGACCAGUGCAAGAAGUCCUUGGAGCUCAGUUUUGAGCAUUUACCAUACCACUUGAAGGAAUGCUUGCUGUAUUUUGCUGCAUUUCGAGAAGAUGAAAAAAUUGGUGCCAAGAAGUUGAUGUGUCUAUGGAUUGCAGAA
rnacentral:lncRNA from 1 species